rnacentral:lncRNA from 1 species
UUUUUCUUUCUAGAGAGAGAGGGGGAAGGUUUGGGGGAUGAAACUGUGAGGGAAAGAGAGAGAGAGAGGUUCUAAUCCCCUCUAUACUCAUAACUCAUGCACAAAAUGCCAAUAAGCCCCUCAACAAUGCUUCUCUUGCAACAGCCUGAACUGGGCAUUUUCGGGCUUCGGGGACCGGUCCUUGGAUGAGGGACUGGUCCCUGAGAGACCGGUCCUUGGCUGAGAGACCGGUCCCCGAAGGUCCAGAAAUCAGCCUUCAAGGACUUAGCCAAAUUUUCAGCAUUUUCACUAAUUUUUGUCCGUUUUCGCUCGUUUUCGCUCGUUUGGUCUCCUAUUAAUUUCAAAUCGAACCGAGACCCUCCAAACAUGUUUUCAAGCAUGUUUUCAUCAUCUUUUCAUCCACGCUAAUGCCGAAUUUAGUGCAUGGUCCGACAUAGCCCUUUGGGUUCCGUUUUUGCCCCUACGUGCACUAAAGCACCCGAAUGCUCCCGAACCUCACCGGAAUGAUUCCAAUGGCUUCUAACAUCCAUGGAAACUUUAUGGCUAUAGAAGUUCGGUAUAUUACUGUAACAUACCAGAUUUUGGUAUAAAAAUAAAAAAAAAAUAGUGUGAGAAACUAUUUUUAUUGGAUUUAUAGAAGUAAAACAUAAGUCAGAAGUGACUUGUGCUGAAAUCAGAAUGAAAACAGAAGAUCUAGAAUUUUCUGUUGGAAACGGGACAGAUAAAUUAGCAGAAAAUAUACAGUCUCAGAAAAUUAUGAAAAUUGGAGGAUAAGUCAGAAAUAUUUUUAUGAUGCUAGAUUUAAAGUUUCAUAUUUUUCUGACACCCGUAGAGCGAGAAAUAAAAUCCGACAGCUAUCUGAUAAAGAUUACAAUUCGGUACAGUUUUCGGUGACCAAAUGGGGUCGAAACUGAAAACUUAAAAUAUAUUCUUACUCAGUACGUUAAAUUGAGCCUGCCUGUCAAAUUUGAACUCAAACGGACAUUCAGAAGGGCUCCAACUGUUCCGAACUGCUAAACAGCUGCCCGGGAGUGAAUAGUGUUGUGGUGUUGACUAAAGAGGAGUGUUGACUCUUCUUCUUCUCCUUCAGCCGCACACACACCACACACACACACGCGCGCGCAUGGAGGGGGAGGGAAACCCUCGCUUCUCUCUCUAGAGAUCUCUCUCAUCUCUCUAGAUCUCUCUCUAAAAAUUGGAGGGUUGGUGGAGAAGAUGCUUGCGAAUGCGUUGGAGGCGACGGAUUGAGCUUUCGUGCGCCCGUUUGAGCGGCGUGUUUUCGUCGCGGCGUUCACAUUGAGGUAAGCUUUUAGGAUUUGGCUAAAUCCUUAAUGCUUAAUGUUCUAAUAGCCUCUAAUGUGUUGAUUAGCAUGUUGAAUCCAUUUAAUUUGGGUUAAUUGGAGCAUGUGUAGAGACUAGGUUUUUAAAAAUGGUAGAAUCUUAGAGCUUUAAUUAUAUGCUCUAGGAAUGGGUUUAAAGGACUCUCUAUAUGAUAUCUACAUGCUAAUUGCUUGAAUCAUGAAUCAAAUUUGAAGCUUAUUGCAAUAGUAGCAUGUUAGGGCUCCAAUUUUGGGGUUUUAUAAAGUGUAUGGGUUUGAUCUAAAUUGACCCUAUGUAAACCUAAUUGCUAGGUAAACGAACGCGUUGGCGAAGUCGGUUCGUCGAUUCGUCGAGCUGUUGCGAAGUUAUUAAAGAAACGGAUGUUUAGGCUUCGUUUCUGCCUGAAUGGCCGAGGCGACAUCGGAAACUCAUGAAAAUGGAUUUGAAGCAUCGUGGCACAUAACCGAAGACCUUUAAUUUUCGGAUCGUGAAUUGAAGGCCGUUCGGGUGGUCGCGCGAGAGAUCGGGCCAAGCCGGGUGCCGGGUGCCGGGUGCCGCGGGAGGCCGAUUGCAAGUGACUACAAGCAAUCGGAAUCCGAAACGAGGUGGGUUGUGUUUACCGAAGCGACUAGGUCGCCUAUAUGUCUAAGAGUAAUGGUUUUCUAAUUGAUGUAUAUAGUUGUGUUGGUAGGCUUACAUAAUGAUAUGAAUGCUUGAAACAUACUAUAUAGUUGAGAUUACCUACCAAUGAGAUGAGAUGCAUAAUGAAUUAAAUGCUAAAAGAAUGCAUGGAUGCUAAGUAUGGACUAUUUUGGAUAAUGACUAUAUGUAUGUUGACAGAUCAUGUGAUGCUAGUGGUAUAUGUGCAUGAUGACAUAUUAUGAAUUAACAUAUUGUGGAUUAUGCUAAAUAGAAAAACAUACUUGGUGACAUAUUGCCAUAUUAUGGAACAUAGUAGAUGAAAAUGUAUGCAUGUUGAUAUACCUUGAGAUAUGAGUUGAUAUAUAUGCAUGUUGAUGUAUUGUGGACUAUGUUAAAUAACAUAUGCAUGUUGAAUUUGGGUCUAUACCUCUUGGAUGGUUAGAAAACUCGACGUUGGAAAACAAUAACGUAUGAACUAUGAUAUGUGACGUGGACAAUCUAUAUAUAUUAGAUCGAGUGGCAUAUGAUUAGUGUAGUGGAAAUACUUAUGGCAUGUUGAACAUUUAGAAAACAAGUGUGGCAUGAGUCCAAGAAUAUAGUAGUAUAUAUGACACAAGUGAUAGUAAAGAAUGCAAAGAAAAGAAUGAUGGAAAUAUUAUGACAUUUCAACCCUAGAGUUAGGGUCAUUUGAGCAUAGUCUUCCUAAAGUUAGAAAAUAGAUUGAACUUGACAUCCUCAAGAUUUUAGAUUUGAUCAUUGAUCAUACUCACCUUUAGUCCUUGCUCGAGGUUGUGGUAGCUCCCCCUCGGGCGAUAUGCUCCGGAGUCGACAUCACUGAGUGUAGCGAGUAUCUCCCCAGAGGACGGUCCCAUCGAGUGUAGCGAAUAUCUCCCCAAUUAUUGGGAUUUUGAGUUGGUGAGUUUGUUGAGGGCGAAACCUUCGGGUUAGCCAAGAGAUUGGGUAACAAGCACAUGAGCUGUAGCAAUAUCCGAGUUGAGUGGACUUAAGGCUGAGGUGCAAGUGAGACGUCCUUUGCCUCGAGCCUGGCUUUACGCGGUACUCCGCGAAUGAUUGAUUCGAGACCGAGUCGGGUGGAUAGUUGAUAAAGGUAAAUGAGACCCUAUGAUCAGAAUUGUAAUUGUUAUGAGUUUAAAAUAGAGAAAUAACUUCGAGGUCAAUUGAAUGAGCUAUGAAUAACAGGAUUAAAGUAGUAUCGAUUGAACUACUAAUUGGUUGCAUAAAUCGCAUGAUUUUCAUAUUGCAUGGUUGUGAGGUAUGACAUGUAUUUCAAUUAUCGCAUAUAUAUAUGUAUCUGUUGGAUAUUUGUUGGACUAACAUGUUGUAGUGCCUCUAUUGGACCUAUUGGUCGAGCUUUUCCCUUGGGUCGCCGUACCCACUGGGAACCAUGGAGUUGGUUCUCACCCCACGUUAUUUUGGGGUAUUACAGGUUCACACGUGAGCAGCGCAGCGGCGCGAGGCGAGGGCGUAGCUCCAUAGUUAGCGCCCUACCACCGAGACCAGAGAUAGCGGUACCCCGAGUCAGCCUAGCUAGGGGUGUAGAAGAAAAGAAAAGGAAAGAAUAAACAAUAUUGUAAUAAUUUUGAUUGUAUUUGGAAGUUAAAUGUAAAAUGUAAUAGUGAUGUAAAGUAUGUCUAGUGAAUGUGAAUGCUUGUAAUAACAAGUAGAUUAUGUUUUUGAUACUUCCUUAUACAAUCUUUAAUUGAAAUGUGUUCCUGGUUGGAACUUUGUACAUUGUAUUGAUUGCGACGCCUUGAAUGUACAGGGGAGACUCUGUCCGCGAUACAGGGGAUACCCUGUCCGUUCGGCGGUUUGUCGGCGUGCCGCGACCUGGCCAAAUAGGCGGGCGGUCGCGCAGCGUGACAGAUAAGAUAGUAUCAGAGCAUAAAAAGAAUAUAAAAAUAAUAAUAGAAAUGGUUUAGUUGGACCUAGGAGACCCUAGGACAGUAAACCAUAGGAGAUUAAGGCUCGUGAGAGACGAGGAUUUGUGACUUUUGGCGAAAGGUUAAUUGAUUGGGUUGUGUCGUAAACCUCUAAAACGGAUGUUAGAGGUAGAUUCAAGGUGUGGUUUAUUCUCAAUCGAUGGUAUUCGUGUUGGGCGCGCACAACAUGAAACCGAGUGAUCAGAAUAGACGCCCUUGCAUGACUUUCGCCCGAUUUGAAUCGGUAUUAAGUGUCUCGUGUUCGACCUAGAAGGUUGAGGAUUAAUAGAGUUGUCGCAUUUUAGGAAACGACAGCACUGCGUAGGCGAUCUUUGUUUAGAUCGGCGCGGGAUGGGCCAAGUGGUGUCCCUGGGCAAUUUGAGACGAGCGGAGACUUGAGACUUCGCGAGCGAUUGGCCACUCUCGUGUGUGUAGCGGGGUAAUGAGCCGAAUUAGUGCAGUGUCAGCUGAAGGCUGCCAUAUGCCGGGAGGAGCGAGUUAAGAGACUCCAAGAGUUGGGGGAUUAGUAGUGAUCGCACCAGUUCCGGCUCGUUAAGUACUGCCGGGAGUCGCGACGAAGGUGUGGUGGACAGGCGUCAAGUGGAAUCGACUGCCUGGUCUCCCUCCUGUGGUUUGGGAUGAGUUUCAGGGAUCGGUAUUCUCUGUUUACUCUCCUGAUGAUGGAAAAGAAAGCUUCAGGAAAGGUUCUCGAAGCUACGGCAGGUAGACCGCGCCGUGAGGGAAUACGAGCGGAAAUUCUCCCGUGUCGUGAAUUGCAUCCCGUACAUAGUGCGGGAUAAUGAGAACAAAACUCUUUUUAGGAGGGGAGAAUGUAACGUACCGAAAUUUCGGUAAAUAAACAUCAAACUUUAGUAAAAUUGACCAAAGUACGUUGAGAGAAAUAGUUGGAUAAAGUUCAAUUGAUAUUCCGACGAUGUUGGAAGGAUAAGAAUUGGGCUCUAAAAGAGUUAGAAUGGUUUUAGCAUCGAUCGGUGCGAGUUGGAGUCGAAAACAAGCUAAAACUACAUUCUGGAGGAAAGUGUACCGAUACAUGUUGAUGGUUGUACCGGUACAGCAAGCGGCCCGAGAAGAGCAUUGCUCUCGGGUUUGAGUUUUUGCAGAAGUGUACCGGUACACUCCUGGUUUGUACCGGUACCUUUUGGUAAAAUCCGAGGAGGUUGCUCUCGGGUUUGCCUCUGCACAGCUUUUUACCGGUACAAAAGCCCGUGUACCGGUACACAAUGGGUCUGACAGUAGGUUGAGAUCUGCUGCAAAUGAAAAACGUUGGGGGGUUUAAAUGCAGUUGUGGCGGUUUGUAUAAACCCCACACCCCUUCUUUCCUUGUUCACAGCAAGGAGUACCCCUUCAACUCCAUGUUCUUUCUUCUCUCACUCUCCAGGAGCUUUUCUAAAGAGGAGGAUUAGAGAAGCUUUGAGGAUUAGGCCUUGUGGAUAGAACAAGGCAGUGCAAUUGUGCGAGGGGAGCGUGAGUCCAAUUGCAAGGAAAAGAAAAAUAGAACUGCCAACGAGUGGAUUCGAUGGUCCGUCAAGUUCUCAAGUGAGUGCAAUGUGUUCGCGCUCGUGAAUCCGAGUUCCGGGGACCUACUGUGUUCGGUCCUUAGUGAGAUGUGUCGUUUGUGGAUGUUUUCGUUACCCACAGUAUUGCGAGCUGUGAGAGGGCAAGUGCUACAGGUGUGGCCAACCGGGCUGUGCGCGGGACGAGUGUCUGCAAGGUGACAGCCGGGGCCUGACACUGGCGACAGUCUAUUUCUCUCUAGGAUGGCCUGCAAGUGUGCCAUUUGCGGCAUGUCGGGAAAGAGGGCGUUGAGGACAAUGCAACCUAAAGGUUCGCGGCGAGCGCUAAGUGGCUGUAGAUACACGACCCAGGUUGAGGACCCUGCUGCUGACGACGUCGUUGCAGGUAUGAGUUAUUGAUGCAAAUGUAUGUUUUGCAUGAUGUGAAGUUGAUGCAUUGCAUGCAAUGGUUAUGUGGUUAAUUACUAUUGCNNNNNNNNNNNNNNNNNNNNNNNNNNNNNNNNNNNNNNNNNNNNNNNNNNNNNNNNNNNNNNNNNNNNNNNNNNNNNNNNNNNNNNNNNNNNNNNNNNNNNNNNNNNNNNNNNNNNNNNNNNNNNNNNNNNNNNNNNNNNNNNNNNNNNNNNNNNNNNNNNNNNNNNNNNNNNNNNNNNNNNNNNNNNNNNNNNNNNNNNNNNNNNNNNNNNNNNNNNNNNNNNNNNNNNNNNNNNNNNNNNNNNNNNNNNNNNNNNNNNNNNNNNNNNNNNNNNNNNNNNNNNNNNNNNNNNNNNNNNNNNNNNNNNNNNNNNNNNNNNNNNNNNNNNNNNNNNNNNNNNNNNNNNNNNNNNNNNNNNNNNNNNNNNNNNNNNNNNNNNNNNNNNNNNNNNNNNNNNNNNNNNNNNNNNNNNNNNNNNNNNNNNNNNNNNNNNNNNNNNNNNNNNNNNNNNNNNNNNNNNNNNNNNNNNNNNNNNNNNNNNNNNNNNNNNNNNNNNNNNNNNNNNNNNNNNNNNNNNNNNNNNNNNNNNNNNNNNNNNNNNNNNNNNNNNNNNNNNNNNNNNNNNNNNNNNNNNNNNNNNNNNNNNNNNNNNNNNNNNNNNNNNNNNNNNNNNNNNNNNNNNNNNNNNNNNNNNNNNNNNNNNNNNNNNNNNNNNNNNNNNNNNNNNNNNNNNNNNNNNNNNNNNNNNNNNNNNNNNNNNNNNNNNNNNNNNNNNNNNNNNNNNNNNNNNNNNNNNNNNNNNNNNNNNNNNNNNNNNNNNNNNNNNNNNNNNNNNNNNNNNNNNNNNNNNNNNNNNNNNNNNNNNNNNNNNNNNNNNNNNNNNNNNNNNNNNNNNNNNNNNNNNNNNNNNNNNNNNNNNNNNNNNNNNNNNNNNNNNNNNNNNNNNNNNNNNNNNNNNNNNNNNNNNNNNNNNNNNNNNNNNNNNNNNNNNNNNNNNNNNNNNNNNNNNNNNNNNNNNNNNNNNNNNNNNNNNNNNNNNNNNNNNNNNNNNNNNNNNNNNNNNNNNNNNNNNNNNNNNNNNNNNNNNNNNNNNNNNNNNNNNNNNNNNNNNNNNNNNNNNNNNNNNNNNNNNNNNNNNNNNNNNNNNNNNNNUCUCUCUCUCUCUCUCUAUCUAUAUAUAUAUAUAUAUAUAUAUAUAUAUAUAUAUAUAUAUAUAUAUAUAUAUAUAACUAGGCUGGUAUACUAUCGGUAGCACGGAGGCCUCCGUGCUACCAAGUUGUUUUCAAUGAUAUAGCUUCCAAAUUGAUGAUCGGCUCCGUUAGACUUGAUUUACACUAUUGAAAGUAUUUGAAAACAAAAUUUCAUAAUUUUUCGAUAUCAUUUACCUAUCAAACGAGUAAUCUAAAACUGGUCGAAAAUAAAAAUCUCAUAAAAAAUAAUGAUAAAAAACUUAAAUUUAAGGUCAGAGGUAUUAAUCUUACUAUAAAUAGUGAAAAAAAAAAUUUAUAAAAAUUUCAUCAGAUUUGAAUUGUACUAUAAAUAGUGAAAAAAAAUUUCUAAAAAAAUUUCAUCAGAUUUGAAUUGUUUUAUACCGUUAAAUUCGCAAACACAUCAUAUCGACCAUUAAAAUUGUCAAUUUUGAGACCUUUUUGCAGUAUCUCUGGUGUUUGGUUGCCCGUGAGAUUUCAGUAUCUGAGGCUUGUCGACACAUCUAGAGAGUGUCGGGACAAGUCGGAGACGUUUUGGCGCGAAAUGGACGUAAAACGGACUUGACGCGAGGCAAGAGUGGAGUUCUAACAUUGAAAUUCGCAAAGUGCAGGUUUUCAGCUGGAUUUUUGAGUAGGUGAGGGGCCUUUUGGUCAUUUAGGUGUUGAUAACCCCAACCUUAUCCCUAGCCACUAUAUAUCUUGUAGAGAGCUCAGAGAAGAGUUUUGUUUGCCAUUCUCUCUCUCUCCCUCUAGUUCUUGGACGUGCUCGUGGUGGAGGACUCGGCUCGAGCUCGAGAGGUUGUCGAUGUUGAUCCGGAGGGUCGUUCGAGCGUGCGGGCGUCGCGGUUGCAUCGUUGGGAGGCCUGGCGAGCGCAUGGUUUCCUCUCCUUUCGACUUCUCGUCGUAGUUGGACUAGCAUGUCGAGGUGGGUUGAAGUUUACCAAAAUCGUCGUAAUACCUACUAAGUUCCUAUAUCGUCAACAUGUUUUGUUGGUUUCAUUUCCUUGCUAGUACUCGAAUUCAUGGAUUAGAGAUAAAAAUUGAAUUUGGAGUUAAUCUAGUAGUAUAAUUUUAUAUGUUGAAUUUGGAAUUGACUUAGGAGAAAACAUAUAAAUCCUACACUGUCAUUUAUAAAAAAUACCAGAUUUAGCUUUAGGAGCUGUGGUUCUUUUGUAUAGUCGCUGUUAGUAUGCGAUGGAUGCCCAGAUUAGUGUCGGAUGAGGUUACGCUUGUGCUGGGAUGCCGAGUUUAUUUUUACAGUAGUGUGUAGACUAUUUNAGUAUUUCGGAUGUCGUUCCGAUGGGUCUAACAGCGAAAGUGAUUCACUGUUGGCGGAACAGUUGGUUAGUAACCAAGUACAAGCACGUAGACCUAGUAGUACCUCAAUGUGAGGUAGGAGGGUCGUGCUUGUGUAGUCGGCGUACGUAGGCAAGGAUUGCCUAACACAGGACUUAGUGUGGAACGCUAUAGAAGCGUAUGAUGUUCGGGUAUAGUUACUCGUGGAGUGCGGGUUUAGUUCAGUUAAGAGAGUGUAUUGGCAGUAGCACUUGAGCGUUGCUAGGUGUGAAGCGUACCAUGGAUCACUCGUGGGACGGGUGACUUGCAUUAGGUGCAUAGUAGCCGGUAGUGGUACUUGUGGCUCGGUAGAGCGUGUCAUGCGAUUGAUGGUAUACCGAGAGUACGAGUGUGACCCAACCCGGGGAUCUGUAACGGUUUGGGAUCUUAGUUGAUCCUGGUUGGAGUGUGUGCGAAUUCCCAAGUGAGAAUUUCGCCCGAUCAUGAUUGGGUCUGCAUUCGCGAGCGAGAGACGCUGCGUAUUGAGACAGGUUUAGGCGGUAGGCCUACGUAGGAUUGGUGGCCUUUGGUCCACCUGUGGGGACCGAAGAGAGCGAUUUGGUAGAUUGCCUUAUCGAGGAAUUUGACUCGAAUUCACGAACGAAGUGCUCGUGUGAGCUAGUUGCGGAAAUAGUUUGAUGUUAAUCGUGGCAUGUGGUAUCAGAAGAUGAAGUGCUCUUGGUGAGACCUUGAGCGAGUAGUAAGCCACGUGGACUUGGAGGAUUGGAAUUGGGGAUAUGCUAAAGUAGGCCAUCUUAUGUUAAAGUUGAGGGUCAGUGCGAAUUUAGAGCACUCGCGACGGAGCGAUGCACCGGUGAUAUUGCUUUUAAGCAAUGUCGGUGAUCGAAUCGGAGUAUAUUCCCUGAAGGGAAGGCUAGUGCAAAGAAGAGUUCUUUGUGUACCGAAUGGUGAGUGGUGUUGGAGCGCGUAGAGUCGUCAAGCAUCGACUUGCGCUGCCACUAUGACUUGCAAGACCCGUGAUGCACUUUUGUAUCACACCUUGCAAAUGUGUUUAGGAUUGAACCCACGUCCUUCAGUAUGAGCCGCUUCUGGAACCACGAUAGUGUGAAAUUGCUCUAGAGUAGGAGAAUGAGUCGGUACCCUCAAUUGCUCGCGGAGCUGAAUUGAGGCGUGGUUUGAAUUUCGCGGAUGAAAUUCUUUUAAGGGGUGGAGAAUGUAACAUACCAGAUUUUGGUAUAUAAAUAAAAAAUAAAUAAAAUUAGUGUGAGAAACUAUUUGUAUCGGAUUUAUAGAAGUAAAACAUAAGUCAUAAGUGACUUGUGCUGAAAUCGGAAUGAAAACAGAAGAUCUAAAAUUUUCUGUUGGAAACGGGACAGAUAAAUUAGCAGAAAAUGCACAGUCUCAGAAAAUUAUGAAAAUUGGAGGAUAAGUCAGAAAUAUUUUUAUGAGGCUAGAUUUAAAGUUUCAUAUUUUUCUGACACCCGUAGAGUGAGAAAUAAAAUCCGACAGCUAUCUGAUAAAGAGUACAGUUCGGUACAGUUUUCGGUGACCAAAUGGGAUCGAAACUGAAAACUUAAAAUAUAUUCUUACUCAGUACGUUAAACUGAGCCUGCCUGUCAAAUUUGAGCUNNNNNNNNNNNNNNNNNNNNNNNNNNNNNNNNNNNNNNNNNNNNNNNNNNNNNNNNNNNNNNNNNNNNNNNNNNNNNNNNNNNNNNNNNNNNNNNNNNNNNNNNNNNNNNNNNNNNNNNNNNNNNNNNNNNNNNNNNNNNNNNNNNNNNNNNNNNNNNNNNNNNNNNNNNNNNNNNNNNNNNNNNNNNNNNNNNNNNNNNNNNNNNNNNNNNNNNNNNNNNNNNNNNNNNNNNNNNNNNNNNNNNNNNNNNNNNNNNNNNNNNNNNNNNNNNNNNNNNNNNNNNNNNNNNNNNNNNNNNNNNNNNNNNNNNNNNNNNNNNNNNNNNNNNNNNNNNNNNNNNNNNNNNNNNNNNNNNNNNNNNNNNNNNNNNNNNAGAGAGGAGGUGAGCGGCACCUCGACCCGGCUUGACCCAUCUCUCCGCGAACCACUGCCGAACGGCCUCCAUCACGAUACGAAAAUUAAAGUCUUCGUUAAUGUGCCACGGUGCUGUCAAAUCCAUUUUCAUGGUUUCCGAGAUUCCUCGGCCAUCCAGGCGGAAUAACGAAGCCUAAACGUACCUUUCUUUAAUAACUCGCAACGGCUCGACAAUCGACGAACGCGACUUCGCCAACAGCGCGUUCGUUUACCUAGCAAUAUAGGUUUACAUAGGGUCAUUUAGAUCAAACCCAUUACACUUUAUAAAACCCGCAAAAUUGGAGCCCUAACAUGCUACUAUUUGCCAAUAAAGCUUCAAAGAUUGAUUCAGUGAUUCAGACAGAUUAGCAUGUAGAUAUCAUAUAGAGAGUCCUUUAAAUCCAUUCUAGAGCAUAUAAUUAAAGCUCUAAGGUUCUUAACCAUUUUUAAAACAUUCCUAUCUGUACACUAUCUCCAAUUAACUUUCAAUUAAAAGGAUUCAAUAUGCUAAUGCACACAUUAAGGCUAUAGAACACUAAACAUUAAGGAGUUAAGGCAAAAUCCUAAAAGCUUCCUGCAAUGAUGAAGCCCGGCGAGAAACACGCCGCUCCACAGGGCGCACGGAAAGCUCAAUGCCGUCGCUCCUAACGCGUUCGCAAGCAUCUUCUCCACCAACACGCGGACGGCGACCUCGACUCCCAAUUUAGGAGAGAUAAUAGAGAGAUGUAGAGAGAAUCUCUAGAGAAGACGAAGGGAGGGUUCCCUCCCAUCGCCAUGCGCCGCAGGUCGUGUGUGUGGUGGUGUGUGGCGACUGAAGGAGAAGUAAGAAGAGUCAACACGUCCCUCUUGUUAGUCAACACCACAACACUGAGUUCACUCGCCGCGCAGAGCUGUUUACAGUUCGGCAUAUAGUUGAGGCGCGCUUCCUGAAUUCCGUUGACGCUAUAUGUUGACAUAUCAUGUGAUGCUAGUGGUAUAUGUGCAUGAUGACAUAUUAUGAAUUAACAUAUUGUGGAUUAUGUUAAAUAGAAAAACAUACUUGAUGACAUAUUGCCAUAUUGUGGAACAUAGUAGAUGGAAAUGUAUGCAUGUUGAUAUACCUUGAGAUAUGAGUUGAUAUAUAUGCAUGUUGAUAUAUUGUGGACUAUGUUAAAUAACAUAUGCAUGUUGAAUUUGGGUCUAUACCUCUUGGAUGGUUAGAAAACUCGACGUUGGAAAACAAUGACGUAUGAACUAUGAUAUGUGACGUGGACAAUCUAUAUAUAUUAGAUCGAGUGGCAUAUGAUUAGUAUAGUGGAAACACUUAUGGCAUGUUGAACACUUAGAAAACAAAUGUGGCAUGAGUCUAAGAAUAUAGUAGUAUAUAUGACACAAGUGAUAGUAAAGAAUGCAAAAAAAGAAUGAUUGAAAUAUUAUGACAUUUCAACCCUAGAGUUAGGGUCAUUUGAGCAUAGUCUUCCUAAAGUUAGGAAAUAGAUUGAACUUGACAUUCUCAAGAUUUUGGAUUUGAUCAUUGAUCAUACUCACCUUUAGUCCUUGCUCGAGGUUGUGGUAGCUCCUCCUCGGGCGAUGUGCUCCGGAGUCGACAUCACUGAGUGUAGCGAGUAUCUCCCCAUAGGACGGUCCCAUCGGGUGUAGCGAGUAUCUCCCCGAUUAUUGGGAUUUUGAGUUGGUGAGUUUGUUGAGGGCGAAACUUUCGGGUUAGCCAAGAGAUUGGGUAACAAGCACAUGAGUUGUAGCAAUAUCCGAGUUGAGUGAACUUAAGGCUGAGGUGCAAGUGAGACGUCAUUCGCCUCGAGCCUGGCUUUACGCGGUACUCCGCGAAUGAUUGACUCGAGACCGAGUCUGGUGGAUAGUUUAUAAAGGUAAAUGAGACCCUAUGAUCAAAAUUGUAAUUGUUAUGAGUUUAAAAUAGAGAAAUAACUUCGAGGUCAAUUGAAUGAGCUAUAAAUAACAGGAUUAAAGUAGUAUCGAUUGAACUACUAAUUGGUUGCAUAAAUUGCAUGAUUUUCAUAUUGCAUGGUUGUGAGGCAUGACAUGUAUUUCAAUUAUCGCAUAUAUAUAUGUAUCUGUUGGAUAUUUGUUGGACUAACAUGUUGCAGUGCCUCCCUUGGACCUAUUGGUCGAGCUUUUCCCUUGGGUCGCCGUACCCACUGGGAACCAUGGAGUUGGUUCUCACCCCACGUUGUUUUGGGGUAUUACAGAUUCACACGUGAGCGACGCAGCGGCGCGAGGCAAGGGCGUAGCUUCAUAGUUAGCGCCCUACCACCAAGACCAGAGAUAGCGGUACACCGAGUCAGCCUAGCUAGGGGUGUAGAAGAAAAGAAAAGGAAAGAAUAAACAAUGUUGUAAUAAUUUUGAUUGUAUUUGGAAGUUAAAUAUAAAAUGUAAUAGUAAUGUAAAGUAUGUCUAGUGAAUGUGAAUGCUUGUAAUAACAAGUAGAUUAUGUUUUUGAUACUUCCUUAUACAAUCUUUGAUUGAAACGUGUUCCUGGUUGGAACUUUGUACAUUGUAUUGAUUGCGACGCCUUGAAUGUACAGGGGAGACUCUGUCCGCGGUACAGGGGAAACCCUGUCCGUUCGGCGAUCUGUCGGCGGCGCCGCGACCCGGCCAAAUAGGCAGGCGAUCGCGGGGCGUGACAAUUACAUCAACGGUUCUGAUCAUCGAUUCGCGAUCUCUAUCAUCAAAAACAAUUUGAUAGGACGAAGGUCCCUAUCCUGAUAAAGGAUAGCAAUUGGAUUUUAUAUAUAUAUAUAUAUAUAUAUAUAUAUAUAUAUAUAUAUAUAUAUAUAUAUAUAUAGAAAAAUAAUUGAUUACCCUAAAAGUUUAUACCUUAUAUCUAAUACUUUUUUAGUAAUUUAAGCUGUAAUCAGUUUUUUAUAUAAUAUUAGAGUAGGAGAUUUUCAAAUUCAAAUUUUAUAAAAUGACCGUCAAAUAAAUUUAGCGACAAAUAUAAAGAUUUGAUUUUUAAUAUCCCUCAGUUGCUUGUGCCAGUCACUUACAUAAAUUAAGUUGACUCAUUAAAUUGUUUCCUUAACUUUUCCAAUUGAAUCGUACAUACAUAGUGGACCACAACUAGAGAAAUUAAUAUUCGAAAUAUAUAUAUAGUUAAUUUCUUGGGCAAAAGCAAUGAUAUUUAACUCCAAAUUUACAAUUAAUUAAAAGAAAAAAUUUAAAAAUAUUCAAAAAGGUGUUCAUGAAAUUCAGAGAGGGGCUCCACAAAUUCACAUGCACUCAUUAAGCCAUUAUCCCAAUCAAAAAUAAUUUGUAAACAAAUACAUUAAUGCUUAUUUUAUAUUACAGCAAAUAAUAAUGCCCUUGGGUACUGUUACAUUUGUAGCAUGCAAUAUUAAAAAUAAAACAUAUAAUAAAUGCUUAUUAUUCUAACUAAUGGUGAUUAUUUUUUAUCAUAAGGUGAUCAUUGCUCUUUUAUUUUCUCUCUUUUAGCAUGGUGUAUAGAUAAAAUUUUUAAUUAAGUUGGGAUAAUAAUAAUAAUAAUAAUAAUAAUAUGAAAUAUCGUAAAAUUUUCAUGCUCUUAGCUAUUUGGGAUUGAAUAUAUCGAUCUAAUAGAUCUGGAACCGAUCGAAUAUAAUAAUAGUUUUAACAUUCUUGCUGACGUAUUUAGUAAAAAAUCAAAGAUACCAAAUAGAGUCGAUUUUGAUUUAUCAUAUUUAUAUUUGUGUAGAUUCCACCCAAAAAUAGGAAACUUGAAUAAGGAAUUAUUAUAAUGAUUCAUUUUUCAAUAAUAGAUUAACAUAAAUUUGUAACUGUCAUACAAUAAUUAAUACUUCAAAAUCAAAAUUGUUACAUAUGAAUUAUUUCAUAGAGAAAUUUUGUAUUUAUCUCUAAACAUAAUAAUCAGUACCUAAACAACUACAAGAAAUUGUUAAAAGAGUCUAGGGUGUUUAAUAAACAAAAAAGAGUGUAAAUUAAGGUCUCUAUUGGUGUUUUGUGGGGACAAGGAGGGAAGUGUCAGGUGAGGAAAUUAAACUUUGGUGGGUAUUUAUUUAUCUCUUNCUGUUAGUAUGCGAUGGAUGCCCAGAUUAGUGUCGGAUGAGGUUACGCUUGUGCUGGGAUGCCGAGUUUAUUUUUACAGUAGUGUGUAGACUAUUUCGGACUGUCAGGUGCCGUCGCGGUUGACAUUGGACCCAAAUUUCUGUAUUUGCAUCAGAUUGUGCCAAGGGCACGUGAGCUUUGGUUGUUAGACCAGUUAGACCCAUUUGCUUUGAUUAUAGCCUGUGAGUGCCUGAUUGAGCUCAGCAGAGACACGCUUGCAAACUCAAUUGGGUAGCGCCCACGAGUGCCACUCCGGAGUCGGGCUUUGUGCGUUUGCGUUGAUGUCGUAGUGUCCGGGUUGGACUUGCUCUCCACCGACAAUCCAGCGUGGUGGUUGUUGGUGUAGCUUCGACAGGCGGGAUAGGUCCGUUCACAGUCCCCAGUGAGUUUGGGUCAGAGAUUGCAUUUUUGUUAUAUCUACAGAUAGCCAGUGUUGGUUAGCGAUAGUAUAGUGGCAUAUAGCUGUAAGGUUUCCAGCUUUCCUUACUAUCUUUUACGCACUUUUCUGUAGACCUAGUGGGUGAACCGUUGAGGUUGGUGACAGUACCCACUGAGUAGUACUUCUUUUUGCAGUAGUUCUCACACCCAGUUGUUGACCCUUUUUGCAGAGCCUUUGUCCGCGGCUGCUGCUGACGCUGUUUCUGAUCAUGGAAAGGGAGUCACGAGCUAGAUCCCUUCCCUGGUUACUGUGCUAGAGGAGUACCUUCCAUAGGUAGUUUUGGGGCAUUUUGUACAUAUGGUCUUGUUGUCUGUGUACUCGCUAGAGUGAGUGGUGUAGUAGAUAUUUUGCAUGUACCGGAACCCCUCGAGGUUUUAUAUAUAUGUGUUCAGUUUAGCAGCUCUAUACUACUGGUUGUAGUUUUGUAUGAUUACAGGUACAGCUAUCGCUUCGUAUACAGGAAAAAUUUCUAUGUAUACGGCGGGUCUGUUGGAGUGCCCGAGGAAACGUAUAAUCCGGGGCGUGACACUUUUGAUCAAUAGCCAAAUAAUGUCGAAAAAUUAUGAAAUUUAGUUUUCAAAUACUUUUAAUAAUGUAGAUCAAGUCUAAUGGAGCUGAGCGUCGAUUUGAAAGCUGCAUUAUUGAAAAUAACUUGGUAGCACGGAGACCUCCGAGCUAUACCAAUAGUAUACUAGCCUAGUUCUCUCUCUCUCCCUCCCCCCCUCCCCUCUAAUAUAUAUAUAUAUAUAUAUAUAUAUAUAGGCUAAUGCUACUAUCCUAUUAAUAGGAUAGGAGCACUUGUCCUAUCAAGUUGUUCUUGAUAAUCGAAAUUCCGAAUCGAUGAUCGAAGCCGUUGAAGUUAAUCUAGAGUAUUUGAAAUAUCUAGAAACUAAAUUUCAUAAAUUUUGAUAAUGGUUUACAUGGUGAUCAAAGUGUCGUAAAAUCGACAAUUUUUUACGGCCUAUAUGAGCCGUUUGCUUGUUUAACGAUGUAGAGCAAUCUAAAUUGCUUGAAUUUUUGAUAGAAAAUUCUUUAUACUAUUUAGAUAAUGUUUGAUAACUCUGAUUACGAACUGAGAAAGUCUAACCUCUAUUUUAAGAAGGUUAUUCAUUUAUGACCGUUCAUUUUUCAACUCUUAAGAUGAACUUGAUAAUAAUUUUUAAAAUAAUACAAAUUGGUUUAAACAUUUCUAAUUAGUGUAGAUCAACUUCAACCGGUGUCCGAUGUAUCAAUUUGAAGUAUCGAUCUUCAAAUCGACUUUGAUAGGCAAGGGUCCCAAUCCUAUUAAUAGGAAUAGUAGCUGGACUCCUUAUUAUAUAUAUAUAUUAUAUAUAUAAUAUAUAUAAUAUAUAUAUUAUAUAUAUAGAGUGAGUUCUACUAUGCUAUCGGAUAGCACGGAGCCUUCCGUGCCUUCCAGGCUCGUUUUAUGAUGUGCGACUUUCGAAUCGUCGAUCGGCUCCGUUAAACUGAUCUAGAGUAUUUUGAAGUACCUAGAAAAUAAAUUUAUGAUUUUAGAUAUCAUUUGCCUAUGAACGAAGGGGCUCAAAAUUCAACUGACUGAAAAUAAAAAAUCGGUACAAAUAAAUAAUAUGACAUUAAAAUUUUAAAUCACAAGAUAUUGAUCUUGUUUUAUUAUAGUAUAAAGGAUAUUUUCUAUCAAAAAUUUCGCGCGUGAUUUGGAUAUUUCUACACCUGUUAACUUGCAAACGGCUCACUACGGCCAAUUUGAAAUUUGUUGAUUUGCAGCCCCUUGGCUUCAUAGGAAAUUGAUAUCGUAAAUCAUUAAAUUUUAUUUUCUAGGUACUUCAAAUUACUUUAGAUCAAGUUUACGGAGUCUUCGAAUCGACUGAUUCGAAAGUCGCACAUCGGAAAACGAUAGCUGGAAGCACGGAAGGCUCGGUGCUUUCCCUUCCCAAGAUAGCAUAAGUAGCCUUUCACUAUAUUUAUUAUAUAUAUUAUAUAUAUAUAUAUAUAUUAUAAUAUAUACUAUAUAUAUAUUAUGCUUAGUGAGGCCCCUUUAGUUCUAUAUAUAUAUAUAUUAUAUAUAUAUAUAUUAUAUAUAUAUAUAGAAUUAUGGCUACUAUACUAUCAGAGCCAGAGCGCUCCCGUUGCUACCCGAGUUGUUUUUCGAUGUGUGGCUUCUAACAUCGACGAUCGGCUCGUUUGGACUUAUCUACACUAUGAAAAAGUUAUUAGAACUAAUUUCAUAUUUUUCGAUAUUAUUUAUCUUUAUCAACAAGUAGUUUAAAAUUGAACGGCUGAAAAUAAAAAUCUCAUGAAAAUAAUGAUAAAGAGCGGGGGUUUUUAAAUUCAUAUGAUCAGAUAUAUUUGAUCUUUACUUAAAUAGUGAAAAGAAUUUUCUAUUUUAAAAUUUUUCAGUCGCAUUUGAUUAGUUUUUACACGUAUAAAUACUCACCAAACACACCACAUCGACCAUUAAAAUUGUCAAUUUUGAGAAUCAUUUUUGAUCACUAGUCAAAUGAUGUCGAAAAAUCUGAAAUUUAGGUUUCAAAUACUUGUCAAUAGUGUAGAUUCAAGUCUAACGGAGCGAUCGUCGAUUUGGAAGACGCCAUCAUCGAAAAACAACUUGUGCACGGAAGUGCUCCGUUGUACGAUAGAAAUAGUAGCCGGACUCUAUAAUAUAUAUAUAUAUAUAUAUAUAUAUAUAUAUAUAUUUAGAGAGAGAGAGAGAGAGAGAGCGGGAGAGAGAGAGAGAGAAGAGCUCCGACUACUAUUUAUCGUUAGUCCAAGCCCUUGGUACUAUUAGAUUUCUACCAGUUAGAUUCUGCCCCUUUGGAUCAUUUUCACCCGUUAGAUUAUUUUAUAUUAAACCAACCACGACUGAACCAGAGGGGACCACUAUAUCCUAACCGCACAUGCUUAUUCCAAACGGCGGAAAAUCAAUAGUACUCAAAGCUAGGUACUAUGAUAGUAUAGUAAGCAUAAUUCUAUAUAUAUAUAUAUAUAUAAUAUUAUACUAAUAUAUAUAUAUAUAUAUAUAGUGAUAAUAUGAUGAGAGAGAGAGCAGAGAUGGAGAGAGAAGAAUGAGAGAGAGAUGAGCGGCGCGCGAUAGGCUGGAAUACUAUUAUAGCAAAAAUUCUUUUUGCUAUCGAAGUUAACCCUGAAGAGAAUAUAUGGUAGGAGAUAGUCCAGGGAGAGCCCAGGAGUGGUCCCCAGUAUCAUAUUAUCAAUUGUUAAAUUGAUGAAAAAAUUGUCCAAAGGCUAAAAAACUUUAAUAGCAAAAAGCUGAAUGUAUUAGCCCAAACUCUCCUUACUCUCUCUCUCUCUCUUCUCUCUCUCUUCUCUUCUCUUAUAUAUUAUAUAUAUAUAUAUUAUAAUAUAGUGCGUGAUGCCUGGAAGAUGGAGCGGCUCCGUGUUCUAAGUCGUUUUGAUGUUGAGGAGACGACGCACGAUUGAUCUAGGAGUAUGUUAGUAUCUAGAAAAAAAUUUUUGUGAUUUUUAUAUUCAUUGCCUAUGACGAAUGAAAUUCACAUAAACCAAUCUCCUAUUUGUGUCCCCGAUUGCGCUGAGCAGUUGCGGCACCACGGGCUAGUAUGAUACAUGACGCGCCUAGCGAUAAAGACGACUACAGCAAAAUAAGAGAGGUACGACACAGCAAGGGUGGCGCAUUGCAAGACACGUAUGGUAUGUUGGAUGGAAAAAGAGUGAUAAGAUGGACACCACAAGUAACGUUAACCAUACGAAUCCUAGGGAAAUCUCGGUCAUAGCCCGUUAAAUAUAAUUCUCAAGACAGCGAUUUAUAAUUCUUUGUCGUAUGGGUGGUAGCAGCUCGAGAGAUUGACCUUGACAUGAAGUUUCUUGAACAACUUGCCACAAAAUAGACUAAAAUGAAAAAUCGGGUCUUUAUCGUUACAAUACUUCUGUAGAUAACCCUAGCAACAAUAAAUGUUUGCAUACGACCAAAAUGCUUAGCUAUUAUUAUUACUUAGUGUUAAGUUUUUAUAUAUCAAUAAUUACCCCCCCUAUUGGGAUGGGGACAGACUUCCCUCGAAGACGAGUCUCGUAGAACACACACACAGCCAAGAUACCUACCGAUGUGCAGAUCGUCUCUCGAGCUGUCAUCGAGAAGGUCACCUUCUAUACAGACGGAUAGCUAAUCCGCUUAUCUUUAGACCUGGAUCAGUGAGACUCGCACAUUUCUCGGCUGGUAAUUGCUGAUACCAAAUGUAAAACCCGUACGCAAAAUAAGGAACAACAUCGACCCAAAAUACUUAUAGCCAGUUAUUAGAUUACUAGUGCCUUAAGUCUCUUAUAUAGCCAAUCAUUCCCAUUCCUAUCAUGUAGAAUUAUGGGUGUGACACGCAUCGGAGUUGUAGAUUUGUUCAUAAAUUCUUCGGAGCAUAGAAGAAGCAGUGUUAGGGUGGAAAUGCUAUGAAAUUAAGGUAUUGCUCAACCUAUCCCACGACUAUGUUACCUCCUUCUGGUAAAGACACUGCUCAAUCCUUCGAUAAAUUCAUGAAAAUUCCAUCCAAUGUAUUCAGGUAUGGUAGGGGUUGUAGAAAGACCCGCCGGUUCUGCUGUUUUUCAUACUUUAUUUGCGAUAACCGGGCAUUCUCGAAUAAUUGAUCAACAGUUAUUUGUUUAAUUCUCUCAGUUAGAAGUAAAUCCUUAACACUCCUGGUUUGUUGGCUUCCGAACGGACGUGACCCUAAGCCGUGGAAAUGGAUCUCAGUGUCACGAGUAUGCAACUGUAACCGGAGGUCAUUACCCAACUACUAGUUUCCUUUUCUCUUAGUUUGGUUCUGAGCAUAUGGUGUAGUGCGGCCCAAGAUUUUGGAUCUUGUUGCUUGCUGCUAUAAUGGUUUUAACUGUUAUUCUGACUUCCAACUGGAUUGAAUUUGAUCCAACAUAUCGGUUCCCAUACUGAAAUUGUUGCAAGGUAGGUGAUCUAGAUAAGGGCAAUCAGGCGACCACAUUGUUGUUCAUUUUAUUAUUUACUAUUUCUAAAUACAACCCAUUAGCUUAGAAAGCCAUUUGCUGGCUGGGGUAGAUAUUUUUUGUCUAUAAGAAUUUUAAACUUUGAUGAUCAGUCUUAUUCUUAAAAUGCGUCCAACUAGGAUAUGGUUCCAUUUUUUGUUUACCGCAUUACUAUUGCUAACAUUUCUCAUCGUUUAAGCUAACAGCAAUCGAAUUUGUUGGGGAUAAUGGCUUGCUUCAAAUGCAAUUGGUUUGGCCUUUUUGUUACGAAAACUCCACUACCCCUACUUCCUGGAUGCCAUUGUUCGACAAAUAAAUUCCGGUUGCAAUAAUUAGGUAGUGCAAUGCUUGGGCGGUAGAAGAUUUGCCACUUUUAGUGUUUGAAGCUUUAGAUACGCUUUACAUCAGUCCAUUUUAAAACCCAUUAUUUUGGCUAAAUAAUCAUGCAAGGGCUUGCUUAUUUUCCCAAAAUAUUUUAAACAAAGUGUCUAUAAUAACUGCUUAUAUCCCAAGAACACCGCAAUUCUUAUUAUGAAGAUUGGGAGUUCCAUUGCAGAAUAGCUAUCGAUUUUCUUUGUCUCCCAUGCGCUUUCCUAAAUGAAGAUCAGGCGAAGUUACUGCCAAAUGUGAUUUCUCCCUCCCACGCUUCGCAGGAUUAGGUAUGUGCUAGAUAUCAAAAAGUAGUGCGAAGAUGUUGAAGAUGUUCUCUGCCUUUAUUGUAGAUGAGAAUAUCAUCAAAAAAAUACCAGAUAAAUGCCUUAGAUAGUUAAUAAAGUUCAUACUCUGAAACGUAGACACACUGCCACUCGCGUGUGUCCACAAGCGGCAUCACACGCAAUUCGUUUAGUGACCUCAUCUGUGUGCGAUAAUGUUGUCUUAGCAAUGUCGGACCUGUGCAGUUCGGAUUUGAUUUGGUAAAUGAUCGUAAAAUCUAGUUUAGAAAGUGAGAUUGAAACCCGAGUUAACUCAAUAAUCAUCACCAAUGGUUAUUAGGAAAUUAUCCUUGAUCGAUGUUGUCGUGAGGCGCCCUGUAAUUACGCAUAGCCGCCCGACCUUUUUUUUUCUAACUUUAGCACUUUACCGGGCGACGAGUAGGGGCUAUUUGCUCAGUCUUAAUUAUUCCUGAUUUAGCAUUUUUCUGUCCAAUCUUCUCAAUUUUUCAAUUUUUUAAUAUGCAGGAGUAUCUAUAUGUUAAACGUUAACUUGGGUUCGCCCCGUCUUUUAAAGGCGAUUUGUGGUCUUGUACUCUUUUGUGGCUGGCAGACCCUACGGUUCAACGAAUAGAUCAGAAUAUUCCUCAGAAGCAAUUGAAUCUUUUCGAAACAGGUUUAUCUUAACCCUUUCCCACUCAGUUCCCGUACUUCAACUAAUUCUGUUUUGAAUAUAUCUUGGAUUAGCCAAUGUAUAGAGCAUAUGUGCGUAUGCAGAACAAGAUGUGUUUCCUUGUAUAUUUUAUGAGUUCCUCCUCCCUGUUUUUUCAUUACAACUUGUCUCUUGCGAGCUCGCGAGGCACCUUUUUGGUUUCGCUGGAAAUGGAAUUCCCAUUGCGUAGUUUGCUUGAAAUCCCACAAAAUGGCCUCUAAUUGUAUGAGCCAUUGUAUUCUUUAGCACCAUAUAACCUUCAAGGCCUCCCAGGUAGAGAGGCGACACGAAUUGACGUACUCUCACGGUAUAAUUUCUUAUUUUCCGUGGCGAGUAUAUUCAUGAUUCAGAUUAAUUAUUUAAUUAUAUAUGAUUCAGUAUGAAGACGACUUCCAAAAACGCAAGCGGAACAGUUUAGGGUACCUUUCGAUUUUAAGAGGACCUCUGUAAUGCCUGAAUAGACAUGAAUUUUGAGUAAAAGAUGGAUUUUAUAACACAAUCCAUUGUAUAGUUAGGCUUAAACCAUGGGCAUACCAGUGUACAAUGAUGUAUAUAUGAUAUAAAGAGCAAAUGAUUAGUUCAACAGACAUAAAUGGUCCAAUUGAACUUAAUUUGGAUUACACUAUAGUUUUAAAGGGUUAAUCCAAUUAGAAUUUAAAUAAUCUAGUUGUAUGUAAGAUUUAGUGGGUUUGAAUCGAUUAACUCUAAUUGUAUGUGUCAGAGUCAAUCGGUUUAGUCACCAUAUAGCAGGAAAAUUCUAUUGUAUUAGAAAGCCGAUUUGAUAUAGAUUAACUCUAAUUUAUACAUAUUAGAAGUGUAAUUAAUUUAUUGAACAUCUAAGCAAUGUAUAUUUAUAGGAGAAGAGAUCUAAGUUGAAGGAUUGGCUUAAUAAAAUAUUAGGAUUAGCCAAAAUUGAUUUAAAUUAAACUCUAAUUAUACAUAUUAGAGUCUAACUUGGUUUCUUUUGUUUGAACUCUAAGUAAAUGUAUUAGAGUCCAAUCGAUUUAAUUAUUUUUACCUUAGUCAUAUAUACUAAGAUAAAAAGACGAUUUGAUCAAUUCUAAGCAUAUAUUUAGAAUUUGAUCGAGUUUGAAUAUAGUUGUGAUUUGACUCUAGUUUUAUAUGCUAGAGAAUCGGGUUGAAAUAGUUUGUUUCUAAGGACUUGGUAUAGAGAAGAGGUUGGAUUAGGUUGUGCAUGACUUGGGUUUGAGGUUAGGUUUGGACUUUGAUUUGGUUAUUAUGGUAUAGGUUUCAUAUAUGGCUUGUCAAAUUUGGAUUGGAUUGGAAUUAAAGAUUGGGUUCAGCUUGGAUCAAUCCGAAUUAAAUAAUUGGGUUGGGUUUAUAUUUAGUCUUGGACAUGAAUUUGGGCUCAUUUGGAGAUAUAAUUAGGCUGAGUUUAUAUUUGGCCUUGGACAUGAACUUAGGCCCAUUCGGAGAUAUAAUUGGGCUGGGUUUAUAGUUGGUGUUGGACAUGAACUUGGGCCCAUUCAAAGAUAUAACUGGGCUGGGUUUAUAUUUGAUCUUGAACAUGAAUCUGGGCCGAUUCGGAGAUAUAAUUGUGCUGGGUUUCUAUUUGGUCUUGGACAUGAACUUAGGCCCAUUCGGAGAUAUAAUUGGAUUGGGUUUAUAUUUAGUCUUGGACAUGAACUUGGGCCCCUCCAGAGAUAUAAUUGGACUGGGUUUACAGUGUUAAGAUUAAGCCCGUACAGCUUAUUCAAACUUGAGAUUUCAACAGAAAAUUUCAAAGACACUUUGAAAUCACGUUUUAAAUUUGGGUUUCAAAUCCAUAGAUAAAUCCUCAUUUAGUGUGUGUGUGAGUAUAUAUAUAUAUAUAGUAUUUGAAAAGAGUUCAAAAAUUCAAGAUAAUUUAAGUUUUGAAUUUUUAAUUCAAAACAUAAUGAAUAAAUAAAUAACAAAUAUUUUCUUUCUUCCGUCUCCCAUCUUAGAGUAACAAUAAUAAUAAUUCCUCGCCUCCUUUUUGCAAUAUUUAUCAAUAUGAGCAUUAAUUAAUAUAGUCGGCAACGGCGCAGUGUUCAUGGCGAUCACCAAAUUAAAUUGAUUAUGUACAUAUAUGUCUCUCCUGUUUUUUUUUAACGACAAAAAGUUCUGAUCCUCAAUCGUCGUCGUAGAACGCAUGAAAGACUUCAAAGCAGAAUCAGACUUGAAAAUUAAGCCAAAUCCGCAAAGCACCAAAAUAAUUACUUUAUCAAUACAGGCUGNCUGGUAUGCUUCUGGAAGCAUGGAGCGCUCCGUGCUUCUAAGUCGUUUUCGAUGUUGAGACUUUUGAAUCGACGAUCAGCUCCGUUGUACUUGAUCUAGAGUAUUUUAAGUAUCUAGAAAAUAAAUUUUGUGAUUUUUUUAUAUCAUUUGCCUAGUGAUCGAAUUGUAAAUUCACAUAAACCCAAUCUCCUAUUUGUAGUUCCCUUUCCGAUCUUCCCUUGUUAGCUAGUUGUCGCAUCCUAUUCUGGGCCUUAGCUAGAUUAUCCUUUAUUACUCGUACAGCCGCCUCUCUAGCCGAUAAAGUACGAUCUACAGCUUCAAACGAUGAGUAGCCAGCCAGGUACGACACAUGCAAGGGUGGCGCUUGCCCAUAGACCACCUCGUAUGGAGUAGUUUGGAUGGAAGAGUGAUAAGAUGUGUUGUACCACCACCAUUCAGCUAACGGUAACCAUCACGACCACUCCCUAGGGAAAUCUCCGGUCAUGCACCGUAAAUAUAAUUCUCAAGACAGCGAUUUAUAACUUCUCUUUGUCCGUCCAUUUGUGGGUGGUAGGCAGUCGAGAGAUUGACCUUCACAUGAAGUUUCUUGAACAACUUGCACCAAAAUAGACUAAUGAAAAUCGGGUCUUUAUCGCUUACAAUACUUCUGUAACGACUCAACCCCCUAGCAACAAUAACUCGUUGGGCCCAAACACCGACCCAAAAUGCUUAAGCCUAGUUAUUAUUACUAGUGUCUAAGUUUCUUAUAUAUCCAAUCACAUCCUCAUUCCUAUUCGAUAUGGGAUUAUUGGGGUGUGACAGACUCCCCCCGUUAAGACCCUGACGUCCUCGUCAGUCCAAUCACACACACAGCCCAAGAUCACCAGGCGAUGUGAGACUCGUCUCGCUAGCCUUGUCAUCCAGACCCUGGCAUAGUCGGUCACCUUCUCAUACAGACUCCGGUAUAGCCUAUCACCUUAUCUUUCAGACCCUGGCUCAGCUGAGACUCGCCACACAUUUUCGGCUGGUAAUUGGCUUUGAUACCAAAUGUAACGACCCAGCCCACUAGCAACAAUAACUCGUUGGGCCCAAACAUCGACCCAAAAUACUUAAGCCCAGUUAUUAUUACUAGUGCCUAAGUCUCUUAUAUACCCAAUCAUAUCCCCAUUCCUAUCCGAUGUAGAAUUAUUGGGGUGUGACAACUUCUUGGCAAUUCGUGUAGCUUGUAGAUAUUGUUCAUAAAUUCUUGAGCAAUAGAAGAAGCAGUGUAAGGGUGGGAUAAUGCUAUGAAUUAAGCGUACUUGCUCAACCUAUCCACCACGACCAUGAUUACCUCCUUCUGGUAAGACACUGUCAAUCCUUCGAUAAAAUUCAUGAAAAUUUCCAUCCAAAUGUGUUCAGGUAUUGGUAGGGGUUGUAGAAGACCCGCCGGUGCUGCUGUUUCAUACUUAUUUUGCCGAUAAACCGGGCAUUCUCGAAUAAAUUGAUCAACAGUUUGUUUUAACUUCUUCCAGUAGAAGUAACUCCUUAACCUCCUGGUUGUUGCUUCCGAACCGGAGUGACCCCCUAAGCCGCUGGAAUGGAACUCAGUGACGAGUUGCAACUGUAACCCGGGGUCAUUGCCAACUACUAGUUUCCUUUUCCUCUUAAGUUGGUUCUGAGACUAUGUGUAGUGCGGCCAAGAUUUUGGAUCUUGUUGCUUCUGCUGUAUAAUGGUCUUUAACUUGUUAUCUGACUUCCAACUGGACUUGAUUUGAUCCAACAUAUCGGUUCCCACUACUGAAAUUGCUUGCAAGGUAGGUGAUCUAGAUAAGGCAUCGGCGACCACAUUGUCUGUUCCAUUCUUAUAUACUAUUUCAUAAUCAAACCCCAUUAGCUUAGAAAGCCAUUUUUGCUGGCUGGGAGUAGAUAUUUUUUGCUCCAUUAAGAAUUUUAAACUUUGAUGAUCAGUCCUUAUCUUAAAAUGCCGUCCAACUAGAUAUGGUCUCCAUUUUUGUACCGCAAUUACUAUUGCUAACAUUUCUCACUCGUAAGCUAACAGCAAUCGAUUUGUUGGGGAUAAUGGCUUGCUCAAAUGCAAUUGGUUGGCCUUUUUGUAGCAAACUCCACCUACCCCUACUCCGGAUGCAUUCGUCUCGACAAUAAAUUCGGUUGCAAAAUUAGGGAGUGCCAAUGCUGGGGCGGUAGAGAUUGCCACUUUUAGUUGUUGAAAAGCUUGAUAGCUUACAUCAGUCCAUUUAAACCCAUAUUUUGCUAACAUAUCAUGCAAGGGCUUGCUUAUUUUCCCAAAAUUUUUAACAAAGUGUCUAUAAUAACCUGCUAAUCCCAAGAACACCCGCAAUUCUUUUAUUGAAGAUGGAGUUGUCCAUUGCAGAAUAGCUUCGACUUUUCUUUGUCUCCAUUGCGACCCUUUCCUGGCUAAUAAUAUGACCCAGAUAUUCCAGGCGAGCUACUGCAAAUGUGCAUUUCUUCCACUUGAGGAAUAAGGUAUGUUGCCUAAGAAUAUCAAAAGUAGUCCGAAGAUGUUGAAGAUGUUCCUCUGCUCCUUUAUUGUAGAUGAGAAUAUCAUCAAAAAAUACCAGAAUAAAUCGCCUUAGAUAGGGUUUAAAAAUAAGGUUCAUCAACCCUUGAAACGUAGAAAGUGCAUUGGUGAGUCCAAAGGGCAUCACCAAGAAUUCGUAGUGACCCUCAUGUGUGCGAAAUGUUGUCUUAGCAAUGUCGGCCUCGUGCAUCCGGAUUUGAUGGUAACCUGAUCGUAAAAUCUAGUUUAGAAAAGUGAGUUGAACCCCCGAGUUCAUCCAAUAAUUCAUCCACCAAUGGUAUAGGAAAUCUAUCCUUGAUCGUGUUGUCGUUGAGGGCCCUGUAAUCUACGCAUAGCCGCCACGACCCUUUUUUUUUUUAACUAGCACUACCGGGGACGAGUAGGGGCUAUUGCUCAGUCUAAUUAUUCCCUGAUUUAGCAUUUUCUGUACCAAUCUCUCAAUUUCAAUUUUUUAAUAUGCAGGGUAUCUAUAUUGUCUAACGUUAACUGGGUUCGCCCCGUCUUUUAAAGGAAUCUUGUGGUCUUGUACUCUUUUGGGCGGCAGACCCUACGGUUCAACGAAUAGAUCAGAAUAUUCCCUCAGAAGCAAUUGAAAUCUUUUUACGAACAGGUCAUCUAACCCUUCCCACUCAGUUCCCGUUACUUCAACUAAUUCUGUUUGAAUCAUAUCUUGAGUAGCCACAUGUAUAGAGCAUAAGUGUACUGCAGAACAAGAUGUGUUUCCUUGUAUCAUUUUCAUGAGUUCCUUCCUGUUUAUCAGUUACAAACUUGUCUCCUGCGAGCCUCGAAGCACCACCUUUUGUUUCCUGAAAUGGAAUUCCAUGCGUAGUUGCUUGAAAUCCCACAAAAUAGGCCCUAAUUGUAUGAGCCAUUGUAUUCUUAGCACCAUAUCACACCCCUUCAAGGGUAGUGUCUGCGACCACGAAUGACGUACCUCUCACGGUUAAUCUUAUUUUCCGUGGGGUAAUAUUCAUGAUUCAGAUUAAUAUUUAAUUAUAUAUGAUUAUCAGGUAUUGUGGAUUCAUGACUUCCAAUAAACGCAAGCGUUUAUUGUUAAUUACCCCUUUAAAGUGUUAGGGUACCUUCGAUUAAGAGACCUCUGUAAUGCUGAAAUAGACUGAAAUUGAAUAAAAGAUGGAUUUUAUAACACAAUCCAUUGUAUAGUUACAUGGCUUAACCAGGGGCAUACCCCAGUGUACAUGAGUAUAAUAUGAUAUAAAAGAGAAAAUGAUUAGUUCAACGACAUAAUGGUCAAUUGAACUUAAUUUGGAUUACACCUAUAGUUUUAAAGGGUUAAUCCAAUUAGAUUUAACUAAAUCCUAGUUGUAUGUAUUAGGAUUUAGUUGGGUUUGAAUCGAUUAAACUCUAAUUGUAUGUGUCAGAGUCCAAUCGGAUUUGAGUCCACCAUAAGGUGCAGGAUGGCUAAAUCUAUAUGUAUUAGAAUUAGCCGAUUUGAUAUAGAUUAACUCUAAUUAUACAUAUUAGAGUCUAAUUAAUUUAAUUGAACUCUAAGCAUGUAUAUUAGAGUCCCACCAUAUUUGAGUUCACUCUAAGUUGAAGGAUGGCUAAAUACUAAAUAUAUGUAUUAGGAUUAGCCAAAAUUGAUUUAAAUUAAACUCUAAUUAUACAUAUUAGAGUCUAACUUGGUUUCAUUUGUUUGAACUCUAAGUAUAUGUAUUAGAGUCCAAUCGAUUUAAUUUGAUUAGGUGAAACCUAAUUCAUUAUUUUUACCUUAGUCAUAUAUACUAAAAUAAAAAGAUAGUUUGAUCAAUUCUAAGCAUAUAUUUAGAAUUUGAUCGAGUUUGAACAUGGUUGUGAUUGGACUAGUUUGUUUCUAAGGACUUGGAGAAGCGGUUGGAUUGAUAUAGUCCUAUAGUUAUGGCUUAGGACAAAUGUUGAUUUGAAUUUGGAUCAGGUUUUGUAUAAUUUGAAUUGGUUUAGAUUUGGAAUUUGAUUUUGAUUGACAUGAUCUGGGCUUGAGAUGUAGGUUGGCCAUUGGAUUUAGGCUUGGGUUGAGGUCAGGCCCGUAUAGUUUAGGUUUAAAAUCAAGCCUGGAUUAGAUUUAACAGGCUAUAUUUGGGUUCAGGCUCAAUGUGGGUUAGAAUAGUACAUGUCUGUCUGUUUGGGCCAAAUUUCGGCCCAUGUAGUUUGGGUUUAGCUUGGAUCAAUCCGAAUUAAAUAAUUGGGUUCGGUUUAUAUUUAGUCUUGGACAUGAACUUGGGCUCAUUCAAAGAUAUAAUUGGGCUGGAUUUAUGUUUGGCCUUGGACGUGGACUUAGGCCCAUUCAGAGAUAUAAUUGGGUUGGGUUUAUAUUUGGUGUUAGACAUGAACUUGGGCCCAUUCAAAGAUAUAAUUGGGCUGGAUUUAUAUUUGAUCUUGAACAUGAAUCUGGGCCCAUUCGAAGAUAUAAUUGUGCUGGGUUUCUAUUUGGUCUUGGACAUGAAUUGGGCCCAUUCGGAGAUAUAAUUAGACUGGGUUUACAGUGUUAAGAUUAGGCCCAUACAGCUUAUUCAAACUUGAGAUUUCAACAGAAAAUUUCAAAGACACUUUGAAAUCACGUUUUAAAUUUGGGUUUCAAAUCCAUAGAUAAAUCCUCAUUUAGUGUGUGUGUGAGUAUAUAUAUAUAUAUAGUAUUUGAAAAGAGUUCAAAAAUUCAAGAUAAUUUAAGUUUUGAAUUUUUAAUUCAAAACAUAAUGAACAAAUGAAUAAACAAAUAUUUUCUUUCUUCCGUCUCCCAUCUUAGAGUAACAAUAAUAAUAAUUCCUCGCCUCCUUUUUGCAAUAUUUAUCAAUAUGAGCAUUAAUUAAUAUAGUCGGCAACGGCGCAGUGUUCAUGGCGAUCACCAAAUUAAACUGAUUACGGACAAAUAUGUCUCCCUUUUUUUUUUUAACGACAAAAAGUUCCGAUCCUCAAUCGUCGUCGUAGAACGCAUGAAAGACUUCAAAGCAGAAUCAGACUUGGAAAUUAAGCCAAAUCCGCAAAGCACCAAAAUAAUUACUUUAUCAAUACAGGCUGCGGCUUCAUCAUAAUUAAUUGCCGAAUCCAUCAAGCACCAAAGCAAUUACUUUAUCAAUGCAAGCUACGGCUACAUCGUAAUUAAUUGCUGAAUCCGCAAAGAACCAAAGCAAUUACUUUAUCAAUACAAGCUGCAGCCACAUAUCUAUUCAUCAUAAUUAAUAUACAUCUCCUUAAUUUGCAUGCAUGUGAGGGAGCUUGUUCACGUAAUACACAUGUUAUUUCGCGCGGUAGAUGAGUGGAGACCGUUCUUCUCUUCUGCCGACCGCUAAGCGCCAAACGGAAGAUCGCCGGCUUCACGUCUUCUCCGUCAUCGUUGUCGACGCGCCGUUAAUUCCGUCAACGGCUAAGCGCCAAACGGAAGGUCGUCAGCUUCACGUCGUCUCCGUCAUGGUUGUCGAUACGCCGUUAAUUCCGCCAUGGUCGUCGAUGCGUCGUUAAUUCCGCCGACGGCUAAGCGCCAAACGGAAGGUCGUCAGCUUCACGUCAUCUCCGUCGUGGUUGUCGACGCGCCGUUAAUUCCGCCGACGGCUAAGCGUCGACGAAUGAAGCUCCAUCGUUAUUGUCGAUGCGCUGUUACUUUCGUCGAUGUCGUCGAUGCGCCGUUACUUCCGUCGACGGCUAAGCGCCAAACGGAAGGUCGUCAGCUUCACGUCGUCUCCGUCGUGGUUGUCGACGCGCCGUUAAUUCCGCCGACGGCUAAGCGCCGACGAAUGAAGCUCCACCGUUAUUGUCGAUACGCCGUUAAUUCCGCCAUGGUCGUCGAUGCGCCGUUAAUUCCGCCGACGGCUAAGCGCCGGCGAAUGAAACUCCGCCGUUGUUGCCGAUGUAGAGAUGGAUGGAGGCUAUUCUUCUCUUCCGCCGAUGGCUAAGCGCCAAACGGAGGAUCGUCGGCUUCACAUCAUCUCCGCCAUGGUUGCCGAUGAAGCUCCGCCGUUGAUGUAGGGAUGGAGGGAGGACGCGAGUAUUAUUAUUAUUAUUAUUAUUAUUUUUUGUGAGGAGGAGAAGAAAGAAAAUAUAUUUCUUCUUUUUUUUGAAUGGAUAUUUGUACCUUUUUUUUGAACGAAUCUUGUUUCUCUCUCUUUUUUUUUUUGCCAAAGUAGUUGAUCUCUCUAACAACUUUUCUAAAAAAAUCCUCCCUCUUUCAUUGUAUCUUUCCCUCUUUUAUAGACUUUUUUAGUUAGUGCAUAAGUGGGUAGUUUUUUUUUUUUAGUGGGUUAGUGGGUUAAUAGGAGAGAUUAGUGGGAAGGUGGGAAGGGUAGUUAGUUUUCCCCUUUUUUUUCUCGUAGUGGGUUUUCUUUUUUUUUUUUAUUUUAUUUUAUUUUAUUUUAUUUUAUUUUAUUUUUUUUAAGCAUGGAACUGAUCUUAACCGUCAGUUCAAAAAUUCAAAACCAUUGAGAUGCCAUAUAGAACCAAUUAAUCAUGCCCGGUUAAUUAGUGGCUCAAAACCAUUGAGAUGCCAUCAUGGCCCGGUUAAUUAGAGAUGCCAUAUAGAACCAAUUAAUCAUGCCCGGUUAAUUAGUGGCUUAAAACCAUUGAGAUGCCAUCAUGGCCCGGGUAAUUAGUCGCCCGGCUCAGUCGCACCAUCUUUUUUUUCUUUUCACCCAACCCCUUUUUUUAAAUAAAUAUAUAUAAUCGUGGGCCCACUUUUUUAUGUAAGAGAAAACAAUAAUAAUAAUAAUAUGCAGAUAUUCGGGCUUAGGUUCGGAUUCAACCUGGACUUGAAUUAGAUUUGACUUGACUAUAUUUGAAUUCAAAAUUUGAAUCUAUCACGUUCUCCUCUUUUUUCUUAUUACACUCAAACAGGUAGUAGCAGCAUGCCAAUGUCAAACUCUACUCCUUGCAUCUUCCAUUGGAACCCUUUGCACAUGGGCGAACUUGUUAGCCGGUUACUAUCUGCUACAUUUACUGUAACUGGGGGAAUAUCUUCGGUAUGACACCCCAAUUUCGACGCUAUAGCCGAAUCUAGGAAGUGUGAACUUCCUGAAUCUAUAUGGACAUGGAUUCUCCUGUUUUUUGCAGUACCAGAGAGUCACAUGGUCCUGAAAUCAAGAGGUUGUGCGUGACCUGCCAGGGAUAGAGAGAGAUUUGGGGUGAGGAGAUUAAAGCUUCAGAUUCUACAGCAGUUUCUUCCAAGCUAUCAGCCUCUGCUGGGUCCUCUUCUUCCACCAGUUCAAUCUUGUACAAUUGUUUUUUCCUGCACUGAUGUCCUGGAGAAUAUUUCUCUUCACACCAAAAACAUAACCUCUUAGCCCUUCUUUCAUCGAAAUCAGCGUUGGAGACGUUUCUCACCAGUUUCGUUGCCACUGGUCCCACUCCUAACACACUUGGCUGGUUUGUAUUUCUAAGCAUUCUUGAGGAUUCGAAGAUAUUUCAGUUGUUGGUGGCCUUUGAAGUUGGUAAUGUAGGCAAGUUCCCGGCUACUAGUUUGGCUCCUCCCUUGUAGAGCUUAUUACGACUAUCCACUGCCAGUUCUUGCAACUUGGCCAAACUUAGUGCCUUUUGUAGCGUGCGUGGUUGGAACAUCUCGCACCGGAAUCUGGAUUUCCUUUUUUAAUCCACUAAGGAAGUAGCUUAUAGCAUAUUCUUCUGUUAAUACUACUCUAUUUAACAAGGCGUCAAACUUAUCUUGAUACUCCAUGAUAGACCCAACUUGCCUCAAUUCCUUAAGCUCUGCCAUCGGAUCAUCAUACAGAUCUACUCCGAAUCGUGUGUUAACGGCAAAUACAUAUUCUUCCCAGGUGGGUGGCGAGCGAGUGAACCUAGACUUCAUGUAAACCUGAUGCCAUUGAAGAGCCCUACUUUCUAGAUAGGUCGUAGCUAAUUUUACUUUAGCAUCUUCCUCAGUUCCGUCAAUUUCAAAAAAUUGUUCACAUCUAUACACCCAUCCUUUCAAAUCCAUUCCAUUGAAUCUAGGAAACUCUACUUUAGUAAAGCGCGAAGAUAAUUGGGAUUUGAUUGGAUUGUUACUUUCUGCUCGUGGUUUUGAGGGGGCAUCGCGGCUCGUUCCACCAAACAAUGAUGCUUGCAAUCCGAUGAACAUUUGGCGUACCUCGCUCAUGUCCUUUUCUUGGCAAUCUCGGACCUCCUGAAUCGAUUGCUUUUGUCGUGUGGCCGUGUCCCUGAUCAAUUGCCGCUACACCUCCUCCAUCUUUUUGAGUUCUUGAGCCCGUGUCUCCAUAGCCUGAUUAAUUGCUGAGGAUCGAUGCUCUGAUACCAAGCUGAUGCCACCAAUUAAGGACCUGGAGUAGAGGACCUAAAGGAAUGGUCCUGGAGCUCCAACCAUGGCAGCGUGAGGACAUGGAACAACAGCAGUAGCAGAGGAAGGAGAAGAAGAGUGAGAGGGGCGGAAACUAAAUUCUAUUAUCAUUAUAACUGGUUAUAAUUACAUGACCAUUCCCUGUUUAUAGCAGGCGAUGGCAUUACUGCAAAUAAAAUGAAAAGACAACAAUGUGGCCUGGGUAGUUAAGGUUGUUAAGUUGGUUGGCUACGGACGGCUGAGAUUGACUUGGGUGCGAUCCACAACCCAAAAUGAAGUGAUUUGGCCGGCCAGAUUGAUUGCUCCCCUUUGCUCCUAAUUUGUAGGUGUGUCAAAUAGAUGGGAUCGAAGCGGCAGAGGCAGGAAUAAAGGGGAUCGAAGCGGCGACGGGGUCGAUGCGGCGUCAAUGAACGGCUUCAAUGAAACUCCGGCGAGGGCGGCGUAUGAUAGAAGCGACAAAAAACCAUGGAACCCAGCCGGUUUAUGGAAAUAAGAACCAGUUCAAAAAAAAUUGAAACGAAGAACCGGUUCAAGCAUGGAAAAGGAACCAAUUCAUUAAAGGAACAGGAAAAACCGAUAGACCGAUUCAAUAAAAAAUCGAUGAAAUAGAUGAAACACCAACAGAUGGGUCCCAUAUUCAACUAAAAUUUGCCGAACCGGUUCAAGCAUGAGAAGAGCAACAAACAAAACCAAAUUGGUUCAAGGAUGGAAAAAGAACAGGUUGAAUAAAAAAGAAAUAAAAACCAGUUCAAAGUUUAAAAAGGAACUGGUUCAAUAAAGCAUUACGAAACAUCGGUUUCCAUUUAAACCGGUUCAGAGAUACAAGGAGGAAUCAAAAAAAAGAGUAACCAAUCUAAUGUACGGAAUACCGAUUCCCACUUUUAAGCAAAUAAUAUGGGUGAAAUAAUGAACGGAACCGGAUCAAUUAUGAGAAGAGGAGCCGGUCCACGAAUCAAAAGAGAAACCGGUUAAAAAAAAACAUGAAAAUAUGGGACCCACGACGGGUCCCACAUCUACCAAAAUUAAGGCUCAUAUAACACGUGGAUAGCCAACAUGGAAAUUAAUAGAGGUUAAUAGAUAAUAGAUUUCUAUAUUUAAUACAUUGUUAUCAACGUAAAGUUAUAUAUAAUUUUAUUUGCUACUUUUUAUUAAUUAUUAGUGAAGCAUUUUGGUUAGUGACAUUUAUUGAUACGCUUUUUUAGUGCAUCAAAUUAGAAAGAUGCCAUUUGACAACAUAUGAUGAAUUUGAGGCCGGGCACGUUUGGUUCGCACUAUAAAAAAUUACUAGAAAUAAAAAAACGUCCGAAGAUUUUAUUCUUACUCAUUCUAUUAUUAAGAAUAUGGUAUUUUGGUGUUGAGUUUGAUAUUAUUUAAGAUUACGAAAAAUAUACAAUUAAUAUAUGUGUUUCGUAAAUUAAUUUCAAAUAAUACUAUCAAAAACAUUAACAUCUUUUUUGAAUAAGAUAUUAAUGAUCAAAUAAUAAUAAACAAAAUAAUUAGUUAAUAUAGUUUUUUUUCAACAAUAAUAAAGGAUUUAUUUUUAGGUAAAUUGAGAAAACUUAGCUUAGAGAGAGAGAUAGAGAAAUUUAAGUUUAAAGAAAGAGAUAGUUGAGAUUAGAAAGAGAAUUUUUUAGAUUAGAGAUAUGAAGAGAUAAAAAGAGCGGAACAGCUUAGUUUAAAAAGAGAUAUUUGAGGUUAGAGAGAACGACAAAAUUGAGAUUUUAAAGAGAGAGGGAGAGAGCAUAGGUUAGGAAGAGAGAAUAGUUAAAGAAAUUGGAAGAGAGAUAGAGUCGAGAUUAGAGAAAGUGAAAGAGUUGAUAUUUUAGAAAGAGAGGGGGGGGGGAGAGAGCUUAGAUUAUAUAGAGAAAAAAUUUUAAGUUUAGAGAGAGAAAGAUAAAGUUAGAGAGAGAUAUGAGAUUAAAGAGUAAAUAAAAAUAAUACCAACUAGCCAGUCGGUGAAGAGAAAGAAAAUGAGUGUGCCGGAUUAGACAUAUUAUGAUUAUUCUAAUUUAUUAUUAUGAGGAUAUCUACUUUUUUUUUUCAAGGACUUUAGGAUUAAACUCAUUUCGAAGGAAAUCCAACAUUAUCAACUAAACUACUUAGUGCGUUAGUCAAAUGCCAUCGUAUUCUUUUUAUUACUAUUGAAUUACUGAGAAUCUUGAAAAGAUAGCGCGAACCAUACGUAACUUCAAAGUUAUUAUUCUAAAUUUUAUUAUUUAUUUAUAUAUGAAUAUAUAAUUUCCUUCAUAGCCAUGCAUUAUUGCAUCAAUAAAAAGCAGAAAACAAAUAAAUAUAUCAUGUAUAGGUGACAGUUAUCUAAUUCCCAGGAGAAAAUCUUUUCGAAAGCGAAAUAUCAGAUGCCCAAAGAAUAUCCGCGCGCAGUUUAUCCACCCCACGAGCAUUAAUCAAUAAUCUCACCGUCCAUAAGCUUGAACAAGAAAUAAUUGCUUGGACUCUGUCUACCACAUCAUCUGUGAACCAUGCAUUUCUUAUCUAAAUCUAAUGCCUAUGCUUAAUUUCUAAAACUGUAGCUUUUUUUUUUAUUGAAAAUUGACUUUUUUAUAUAAAAAAAUUCAUUGAGUGGUUCGGUUAAGGGUCUAUUUUGUUCUGCUGUUGGAUAUGUGUUGUUUGAAUAGUAUAUUUUUUUAAUGAUACUAUUAAAAUAGGUAAUAUACUUCUAUGCCUAAAAAAAAAGUUCAAAAUAGAAAAUUUAUUUAUGCGUCUACUCUUUUUGUUUAUUUCCAAACCAAACGAUACCUAGAUGUAUAUAAAAUCUAUCUUUUGAUUGUGAGGACGCAACAUAUAAGAUCCAAACUUGGAUAUCAAAACUUGAUGUACAAGUAGAAUUGCUCUUCAAAAAGUUUGUGUUUUUAAAACAUCAUACAAAGUCCUGUUUAGUAUUGCUAUUCUUUUUAUCAAACAAAAAUUAGAUAUAAUUAAAUAUGUCAAAAUUUAAUUAUAUCUAAAUAAGUACUGAGAAAAAAAUUAUGUCAGGAAUGAGUACUGAAAAAAAAAAAAAUAUGUCAAAAAUUUAUUUCUUUUCGUAAUCAGUGCGGCAAAAUCCAUCAUCUCCUCUUGCACCCUUUCAUGUAUAAUAAAAAAAAUACCAAAUAAGGACUAUAUAUAUAUAUAUGCAUGGUUGAUCAGCUUACUAACACAAAUAACUAGUCGGGCUCUAAUCAUCGGCUUAAAAUGCUUAAACUCAGUUAUUAGUACUGGUGUCCUUCUUUCGGCUAAUGAACCGGCUCUAAUAAUAACUGUAACAAUCAAAUCCACCGGUAUCAAUUCUUCGUUAGGUACUAACCAUGGACUCAAAAUGUUUAAAUUCAAUUAUUAUUUGUGUGUCUGCCAUAUUUUUUUAUAGGGUCAAUUACAUACAGGUCCCUACAAAAAUAAUGAAUUACAGAUAUAUCCUUGUAAAGUUCAACUUUUAUAAGUUUUUCCUAUAAAAGUUUUAAUGUUUUCAGAUAUAUCCCUACUAGAAUCCAUUAGAAAAGUUUAGUCAACUGUAGAUUAAAUACUUUACCCGAGUACAUUUUUGAUAUUUUUACCCCUCUUAUAUUAUACUGUUAUAAUUUUUGAAGGGGCAUAUUUGUGAUGACAAAAUUGGAAAUAUAAACAGUUUUCUAACAGUUCUCUAACGAUAACAAACCAAAGGGACACAUCUGAAAAUAUUAUGAUUUUUACAGAAAUAACUUAUGAAAGUUAAACUUUACAGAAAUAUAUUUAUAAUUUACUAUAUUUGCGAAAACCUGUAUGCUAUUAAUCCUUUUUUAUAUUACGGAUGUGAUCGUAUCGGAGUGUCGUAACGCUGGUAAAAGUGCCAUGGCCACGGCUGAUGUGGUGGACCUGUCGGCCCAACAAAUUUUCGUGGGACCGACCGUCCCUAGAGCAAGCGGCAAAGGACUUAGUGGUUGGUACUCGAGAUUCAAGUUUGAAUUCUAAUUGAUUCACAUUUUUAGCUAAGUUUAUUUCUGAAUAGAAUAAACGAAGUGGGUAACGUGCUACCUAUCUCUAAAAAAAAAAAAAAAAAAUUUAUUGGAGACAGUUUUCAACUUUUCAACGUAUCACCAGUAAAAAAAAAAAAAAAAAACAAAAAACAAAAUUUCGUGGGAUUGUCUGUGCACCUUGGAACCAUGAGACCCACCCAGUCCGGCUCUCCGCAAACUGUCUCCGCUCGACGCUGCUGCUUUCAAGGAGAGUGUUUAGUAGUAGUGCCUAUUGCUAUUGCUAUUGCUAUUGCUAUUGCUAUUGCUAUCUGGUAUUUGGUAUUAUUAGAUCAUUCGCACCCCCACGACGUACUCGAGGGUCGGGCUCAUUGGACGGCCACGAUCUCCUCGUCUCGAGAUCGUACGGAAGCGGCGCGCUUGUCGGCUACCUCCACGCGAGUUCAGGGAAGAAAAAUGCUAGUCUCUUUCGGAAGCUUCCGAUUUUGUUGUAAUAAUAUAAUAAUUUUUUAUAUGUAUUUUUAAAAAAUUAAUUUUGAAUUUUAUUUUUUGUAAAUUUGUAUUUUUAUUUUAUAUCCGUUGUAGAAAAAAAUAAUCCACUGUGUCAUUUUUUUUUUCUUUUUUUAGCAUAAAAUAAUAUAAUAAUAUGUUUUUUGAAUAAUGCUAUCUCUAUAAUAAUCCAAAUAGAAUUGUAAGAUUACACCCCUUUUUAAAUUAUAAAUUAAACUUUUUUAUUUUCUCUAUUACUUUCAAUUUGGAUCGUUAUCUCUCAUAAGUUCAGGUGUAUAAAAGAAAGAAAAUACAUCUAGAAUUAAGUUAUUAAAAAUAUAUGCAAAAAUUAACAAGUCAGGAUGCUCACGUUAGUUGGAAAACUCUCCACCCAAGUUUUUACCCUAAACGCUGAUAGGCCAGGUGUAAAAUUUAUUUAUAUUUUAUUCAUCCAAAAAUCCACUAUUUGUUCUCUAAUCUUGUCAAAAAUAAAAAAUAAAAAAUAUAUAUAUAUAUAUAUAUAUAUAUAUAUAUAUAAAUUUAAAAAGAUUUUGUGAUCCCUAUGACGAUUACACGUAGCAUUUUCCUUUUUCGAUUGAGAAACAACGAUGGGCAGAUCCUUGUUAAAAGAAAACCGCCAUGAUGGCCUUUUUAUUGUGCCUACCAGUUUCUUCCUCUUCGUUCUUGUUUCAAGCUUCAGCGUCAUUAUCAGAAUCUCUCGAAUGUACGCAAUAAUUACAAUCCCCUUCCUGCUUCAUUUUCUCUGCUUAAUUGGUAGCAAAUUGAUACAGAGUUGGAUGAUUGCUUUCCAACUCGGUGAAUCGAAUGAAUUGAAUUUGGGGUUGUGUUCUUCUGUUUGGGAUUUGGUGCAAUCAUUUUUCUAUGUAAUCAUCAGAUUUUCUUGUUGGAAGUGUUUCCAAAUCGUCUGAAAUUAGUGAAUUCUUGUAUGUAUGUGAUUUGAUCCCAAUUGGUGGUUUAGAGGAUUCUGAGCAGGGUGAUAGAUUAUUAGAUUUUGAGCUGCUAUUUUGAAAGGUGAUUUCCUUUUUAUAUUGGUGAGUAGUUGUUCUUCUUUGGAUUUUCGAUUAUGAUCCACAUGAGUUUGUCACUGAUAUUGUCUGUUCUUCCAUGUUCACACAAGAACACACAAAAUUAUCUGCGAAUCUAGUGUUCUUGUACUAAUAAAAUCAAUUGUUGGGAAAGAACUUGCGUGAUUGCCGUGAUUAUUCAUCCCUGAUAUUGUGAUAAUUUAUUUGUUUCUAUGGAUUUUUGUGGUCAGUUUAUGUGAAGAAACAUGUCUUCUUGAAUCCAAUAUUGGGGAUAGCCAGGUAGUUCUUUCUAAUUUUUCCUUUCAAAUUUUGAAUAAAAAUUUAGACCUCAAAUUGCUCAAUCCUAUUUUCCUGUGUUUAUAACAUUGUAAUUCGUUAGUUUUGAAUGUUGUUCUGUUGAUGGACUCGAUAUAGGUAGCUUGAUAGCCAUUGUAUUUCUAUCUAUUGACAAAUAUUGUAUAUUUCUCAACCUAAUAAGGCCAUUAUUUCAUUCUAUGCUUCGCUUUUCCUGUUUCCGUAGAUAAAUUUGACAGUGCCAGAUUGCUGUUGAUGGAGUUCAAUGGUCAGAGUAACAGAGAUGGGAAAGAUAGGAAUUCAAGAGGGUAAUGAUAGGAAUUCCUCUAGUGAUGUUGAUGAGUUUGAUCCAUGGACGGCUUGGCUCUACAAGCCACGCACGGUCUCAUCGCUACUUGUCGGAGCCUGUUUUUUGAUGUGAGUUCUUGUUCUACAAUUUCAUCACUUAUUUAUGUAUAUAUUUUCUUGAUCUGAAGAUCAUAUUUUCUAUACUAAACUUCUACCAUUGCCUCAAAAGAAUGAUAGCAGAUAAUUUUAUGAGUGUAUAAACAUGUACGGAAAAGUUAUAGUACAAGCUUAUGUAGCUGGACUGUCCACAGUUGACUAACAUUUGGUACGUAUUAUCGAUACUUCCACUGUAAUGUUGUUUUUGAGGUAGCGAUGGCUUGAAUCACAUAGCAUCGGUAUUUAAACAAUUAGUGGAUAUUUGAAUGGCUAGACUGAACAUUGUUAAAACUUAAAAUGUUUGGCACCAUUAAGUAUUUCAUCCUUGGAUUAGCAGUUCAUAUACAGGUGCUUAAAGGCCCAUUUGUAACUUCCCAGGUUUUUCUUCAUAGAUGUUGACCAGUUUCAUGAUCUUGCUGGUUGGUUUUAUGAGAUUAUCAACGUUGCCUUAUUAUAUAUUUAUAUUGAUUGGUAGGGUAGCAUUUACACAGAAAAGUGUUUUCUGACUUCAUUCGGAUAUAAGGUCUAGUGCGUGACUAAUAAUUUUCGAGUUUUCUGCAAAAGAUUCUGCUCAUAUUUUAUGUUGGGCACAAGAAUCUUCAGCUAUAACUCAUUUUAUUUUGUAGUAUCAUGGGGCUUGCACUACAUAAGUUGAUUUGUUCUUGUACUAACUGAUGAUCUAACUCUUAAGCACUUCCUCUUAAUUUGAGUGAACAUGUCAAACUUUGAAAUUUUUGUGAUCUUGUUUCUGUUUCUACUGUGAUCCUUCAUGGAAUGAUCUAGGUGCAUAUUCUAGAUAAUCAUGUACUAGGAUAAUGCAUGGUUCAAUGUUGUUUGUUAAGAACAUAGAUACUUUUCUAUGGUGAAGCUGACUCCUGAAAUGGUUUACAUUAUAGUGUCAAUGGUAUGGAAUGCUUGAAUAUUUUGUACUCUGCUGCUUCUGAACAGAACUAAACUGGUUAUGAAGACUUGGGAGGUGUCAAUUGAAUAUUGUAGAUGCUUCAGAAAUCUUUACUAAUUGAUGACAGAUGUUAUUACUCGGCUAUUACCGUCCAAGAUGGUUUUCUCGAUUUUCUUCAUACGGUUUUUGAUACGAAUUGCAUGUACAAUUUUAUCUCUAUUGGAGAUACCUAAUUAACUUGCAUGUGUUGAUCAUUAUAUAUGUUUCUCAGUUGGGCUAGUGGAGCACUUAAUCCUGACAGCACUGCAUCUAAUGCUACUGUUUCAUCUGUGAGAAGGUAUGCUCAUGAGUUGAUGAAUUUUUUUUAUUUAAAGCUUUUAUCGCUUUUCAUUAGGGCAUGUUUGGUUGUACGAAAGAGGUUGAACUGAAAAAAGUCACUUUUGCAAAAGUGACUUUUACAAAAGUGAUUUUUCAGUUCAAUUGUUUGGUUGAUUAUAAAAUGAAACAUGAAAAAUUAUGGUUUUAUAAUUUUGAUUCCUUAAUUAUAUAUAAAGAGGUGAAAAUAUAAAAAAAAAAAACUUAUACUCGCAAUUAAAUUGAAAAUUUUAAAUUAUAUUUAUUUUUAGACUUUAAAAUUAUAUUUUAAAAUUUAAAAUUAAACUUAAAUUUGAGUUGAACUUAUAAUUAAAAUAUAAGACACAAAUUAAAUUUACAAUUUGAAUUUCAAUUUUAAGUUAUAACUCAUAACUAAAAUUAAAUUUUAAAAUAAAAGUUCAACAUAGAAGUUAUAAUACUUAUUCAAAUUUGAAUUCAUAAUUUGAAUUUGUAAUUUGAAUCAUAUUUUAAUUUACUCUUUGAUCUUAAAUUGUGAAUUCAAAUAUGAAUCCGCAAUUUGAAUUAAUAAUUAAAAUUAAAAUUAAAAUUUAAUUCCAACUUAACAUUUGAAUUCAUAAGUCGAAUUCAAAGUUCAAAUUGAAACUUAUUAUUGAAAUUAAAUGCAAAUAGCAAAUUUAAAUUUCAAUUUCAAUUUCAAUUUAAAAUUUAAAUAUUAAAUUCAAAUUUUGGUCAAUAAUUUGAAUUUAUAGUUGGAACAGUUUGAAUUCAAACUUCAAAUUGAAGGUCUUAGCUAAAAAUAAUUUGAUGAAAAUUUAAAUUUAAAUUCUAGAAUUCAAAUUUAUUUUUUUAAAAAAUAAAAUUUUAAAAUUUAAAUUUAAAUAUAAAGUCACAAAUUUGAAUUUACAAAUAAAAUUAAAAAUGUGAUCAUGUUAUUAAUUCAAAUUUAAGGUGAAAUUUAACUUAAAAAAUAAAUUCAAAGAUUAAAGUUAAGACCACAUAUAACCUCUUAGCUAAUCUCUCAACUUUCGGUGACUUUCGAAUUUUUUGAGCCGAAGUCAAAAAAGUGAAAUUUAGUUAUAACUUACUUUAUCUAUCCAUUUUAUAAAGUGACUUUUAUAUUCACUUUUGCAAACCAAACAACCAAUAAGAUGUCACUUUCCAAAAGUGCCUUUUUCGGUGCUUCAAUUUCAGCCAACCAAAGCCCUUGGGUUAUUACAACUCUUUCACACUUAGCUUGGUGACUUUGGUCACCUCACCAAGAGCUUUUAAUUAUUGAAACAUAAUACUGUUUCUAUCAUAUUUUGCUAUCUUGAUUUCCUUUAUUGUGCAAUGUAUUUUACCUUUCUAGUAACUGCUUCUAGUAGAAAGAGUUACGAUUUCUAACGUCUAUUUGUUUUUCUUGUUAGGGGUGUUUGGGCAAUGAUAGCAGUCUUUCUUAUUUAUUGCGUCCUUCAAGCUCCUUCAACGUGAGUGAUCAUUCCGUACACUUUCUUAAAAGUUAACCAUAUGAAAAACUUGAAUACAGGAAUGGUCAACUACACAUAAAUUAGUAUAUGUUAUUUGUAUAAUAUUGUGCUCUAGUUUUUGUGGCAUAGCAACUGUUAAUUUAUUAUGAGUUUUACUUACUUCCGUCUAUGUAAUCAUAGUAAGAGUAUUUUAUGUGGGGAAGAAAACUAAAUAUCUUCUUGUCAUCUUUGUCUAAUUAUUAUCUUAUUGAUCAGUAAUAUCAUAAUCAGACUCAACGGCUGUUACUUUGAAAGAUGAAUAACAAUCUUGUCUUCAAAAGAUGCUUAUUUCCUAAGGCCUUAUUAUUUUUUUUCUUUUUCAUGUUUGGAAUGAUCUUGGCACAUAGACUAGUAAGAACACAAUGUCACAGCAACAACAUUUAAGAAAAUUACAAGCAUGUAAUAAAUGAUCAUAAUGUGCUUUGAUGAAUUUGUCUAUCUCCAAGUGCUGCAGCAUAAAUUUCAGCAUGCUUUUUAGAAGCCAUUGAUGCUAUAAAAAUGAAGGUAUAUUAUAUUUUUACGUUCAGGUUGCUUAUUAGACCCCAUCCUGCUGUUUGGCGGUUUGUCCAUGGAAUGGCUGUUGUUUACCUUGUGGCCCUUACUUUUCUUCUUUUCCAGGUUUCGUUUUUCCCUUAUAUAGUGCUUGGUGUUGUCUCUUUUACAUAGAUAGUAACCUAUAUUAUCAAUGUCCAAAGUUUCCGUAGAGAAGUUAUGAUUAUCUUUCUAUUAGAAUUAUUUGAUACAAAUAGCCAUUUUAUCUUUUACUUUUUAGUGGUCAUCAUAGAAUUGUAUUAGUAUUUUUAUUAUCCUUAUAUCAAUUGUCGCGUUCUUUUCUUAACACGUAUUAAUCUUUGCUGUAAUUUUUUCCCCACCUUUUUUAUUGGUAAAACUUUUGAAGAUUAUCACAUAUUUUUCUUAUUUUUUUAGAAUUAUAAAAUUAAAACAACCUUAUGUGGGAAUUUUUUUUUCCCCUAAUUAUAUGUAUUUAGACUUUUUAGUUAUUCUAUACAAUAGUCUGAUAUUUGUUUUGCACUACAAUGGAAAUUAAAACUUAAUUAUUAUCAUACUUCUCAGAAUCGUGAUGAUGCUCGACAGUUCAUGAAGUACCUGCAUCCUCAUCUUGGAGUAGGUAGUACUUGCCAAGCAUUUCUGAGUUCUUGUUAACACUAAUGAAUCUUGUUGCACUUGAACAAAAAAUUAGAUAUUCACCUUUUUUCAUCUUAAUGCAGAACUACCUAAAAGAUCUUAUGGAGUUGAUUGCCGAAUUUAUGUCCCAGAAAAUCCUAAAAGCAGGUUUAUCAAUGUUUAUGUAUGAUGUCUCAGUCUAACAUUCCUCAUUGAGUAUCAAUUUUAGUAGAUUUUGCGCUCGUUUGGCACAUAGUAUUGAGUUUGAUAGGGAUAAGACGAGAGCAAUGUCGGCAGAGGGAGGGGGUUUAGUAACUCGAAGGCAUCGGGGUUCAUAGGACGAGUUCGGUCUCAUAAAAUAACGACAGUGGAUGGGAUCAUUGGAUUCUUUCAUAGAUGUUUGAAUUUAACACAAUUGGAUUUUCAAAAAUCUAAUUUUAUCCCACUAGCUCCAAUCCCUAUUUGUCGUUCUCUUGACACCUCCAACUCCUUAAUCCCUCCUUAAGCCCCAACAUCACUAUCUUGUCUUAUUCUAUCUUAUGUGCCAAAUAGGGAAUUUAGUUCCUCUAUUUUUCAUAAUUCGAAAUUUGAUAUAUUUUAGAUUUUUCUAGGAAACUUUGUUUGAUGAGUUUGUCCUUGCCCAUAUCGUGGGUUGGUGGGGAAAGGCUGUGAUGAUACGUAAUCACCCUCUCUUAUGGAUAUUGUCAAUUGGAUUUGAGUCGAUGGAGGUCAAAUUUUCACUCGGAAACUUCUUGGCUUCUCUCACUUAGUUAUCGUUACUUUUAAAUGAUUUGAUCUCUUUCUUAAGUAUAUUGUGCAUGAUCGUUUCCAGCUCACUUUUCGCCAUAUGUUGCCAAACUUUAGUGAGUGUUGGUGGGAUAGCAUUAUUUUGGAUAUUUUGAUCUGCAAUUGGUUUGGUAAGAAUCCAACUAUAGCUUAUUCAGCUUCAUUUUCGGUUUAUAGACAUACUCAUGUAAUGUGCAGUCCUUUGUUUAGCAUUAUCUCUUUUAGAAUAAACCAAAUACACCACAAGUUUUUACUCUUUUUUUUGAAAAGAAGUACAAAAUCACACCGAUACAAGCCCGUUUAAUGUGAAAAUGACACUUCAUGCUGCAACACGAGGAGUUUUUUUUUUCAAAUAUUUAAGUUUGAACUUUGGACAUUUACACACAAUCUCAACUUCACCUAGUCCACCCAAUGUUUGACAAAAACACACCCAACCUGAUUCAUAAUUCAGUUCAACGCUGGAUCCCUCACGCAAAUCGUUUUUCACCAUUCAUUUAUAGACCGAGAUACCUCUUUUGAUUAACUAUUUGUGGCUAAAUCUUUCUCAGUUGCCUUGCCCUUUGUUAUUUUUGGCUAUGUUGCCUUUCACAUAGUUGGAUUGCCUUGCUCUUUUGAAGUGUGCAUUUAAUCUUUGGUUUCCUCAAAUUUUAAUUUUGCUUGUCCUCAUUCUUCUUUGUAAAUGAUGAUAAAGAAAAGCAUAUACUGCAUGGAUAGUGCCAAACUUGAAGUGUGCAUUUAAUCUUUGGUUCCCUCAAAUUUUAAUUUUGCUUGUCCUAAUUCUUCUUUGUAAAUGAUGAUAAAGCAAAGCGUAUACUGCACGGACAGUGUUAAAAUUGUCGACAAUGUCAAGCUUACGUGUAAACAUAGAGGACUCUUGGCUAUACGCAACUCUUUGUUUACACGAGGGGCAUCAACUUUUCCAAGUCGACUUUAGUGUCUAAUAUUUUCUUAUUCUUGGGAAGUCUGCUGAUAGCAUAAAUUAUUUUUCUUUUAUUCUUUGUUUCAACUUUUUAAAUUUGUUAUCUAUUUCCAAAACCUUUUUCAACAUCAGACAGAGGAGAAGUCAACUACCCUUUUACCUAGAACAACAACAACUAAGCAUUUGGUCCUAGUUAUUUUGGGCUGUUGGCGCAAGCUAUAUGGAUCUCUUAUCGCUCCAUUUUGUUUCUUUUUUUAAACAUUUUUUGUCAAAAAAAGUAUUGUAAUAUCUCAUCUUAUCUCAGCAGUUCCUCUCGUUAAUUUUGGUUUGUGUCUUCUUCAAGUGCCACAUUUUAGCAGAAUAAAGUCCUAAUGCCUUGUGGGUUAUUUUACACAUGGCCGCAACAUCUCAAUCAGUUUUUGCACAACUUAUCCUUUAUAAGCUGUAAGCCCUUACACCUCACUUGUGUUGGAUUCGACAGUUUUCAGCCUUUUCUAGCGACGUGACACAGUUAUGUCAACAUCCUCAUCUUGGCGAGACUCAAAACUUUUGCCAAUGUUAUUUCCUUAGCAUACUCCUUCAAUUAUCUUUUAUGUAAUGUUGUUAUUGAAUUGUAGUUUUAUUGGUUCCGAGCAAUAUUUAAAUGGAUUGGGUUUCUAAUUCAGGUAUUUGGGCCGGAAUGCGUACUGUUACAUACAUCAAUGGUAAAACAUACAAAUGGGUUGGUCUAAGCUGCCAGCCAAACAUUAUCAGUAAGGUAAGCUCACAAUUUGUUAUUUUGUAUAAGUUGCUUCUGAUAAAAGGUACUAUUGAUUGAACCUGAAUUAUGACUCGGAACUGAUGACAUAGUAACAUAUUUAUCUUGAAAAAUUAAAGGAAUAACCUUCUCUGAAAAAUAAGAAAUUUUAUUCUUACCUUUAUUUGUACAUCUAAAUCAUCUAACUUCGUGAUGUCAGAUCAUGACACCAAGUGGGUAGUUGCACUUCAGCAUAUGGAAAGAAAGCUAAUUUAUAUGUAUUUACACUUAUAGCGCAAUCAACAUUUUUGUAUCUAUAUAGAAAAUAUAAUGGGCGUGAUUAGCAAUAUUGUUAAGUCUUAAAUCUUCCCUUCUUGGAACUUUUAAACAUUUUUAUCAACAUAGUAGAAAUGAAAAUUAGAGAAAUCAAUACAAGAAAUAUCUCUAGAUUAUAUAUAUUAAAGCCCUAGUCCUUAACAAGUAUACUUUUAUGUAUAUAAGAUAUUCAUAUAUCAAUCAACUAUUCACUUGUAUCAUAUCGUUUAGGCGUUUAGACUUGCAUUGUUGGAUACACGCGCAUCUAUUCACUUCACAGUUACUGACACUUUCUUUUAUCAUCAUAAUAUAACCUAUUCAGUUUUGUAUCUCAUAAUACUCUUUUUUGUAAACAUUUAAAGGUAAAAAGAUCGUUGGGCCAAUUCACACCUGCAUGGUGGGACAAAGAUGAGUGGCACCCUAUGCAGGGCCCGCUGAGGUUCUUCCAAGUUCUAUGUCUCUGUGUCGCUUUCAUGACAGUGGAACUCAACACCUUCUUCCUCAAAUUCUCUCUUUGGAUUCCCCCAAGAAAUCCCUUGGUUGUGUACAGGUUGAUUCUUUGGUGGCUAAUAGCUAUUCCAACUAUCCGCGAGUACAACUCCUACAUACAGGACAGGUUCUCUCUCUCUUUCUCACACUCACAUACACACAACUAUGUGCAAAAUGCAUUGAAAUUGUUAACUCCAAAUUCUAAUGAACGUCAAGUCUCCAGCAUGUACAUGUGAUACUCGUGUACUAUUUUCUUAGCCUUCCCACAAAAAACAACCCCUUUUUUCCUUGGAUUUUCAAACUUAGGAAAAUUCUUUCACUUUUGCCACUUGAGUCCAUAUUUCGACUUUCAGCACCCACUUUCCGUUGGAAACAACACCAUGAUGCAUAGCUUUGAAAGUUCGAUGGAUGGUUUUGAACUACGGAGAUAUUCUUUUGAAAUUGUGGAAAAAGUAAGGGGCAAUUUCAUCCUCAAAGCUGAAAGUGAGCUGAAAUUACAAAAACUUAACAACUGUUAUAUUCUUCAGUUUACUUUUUCCUUUUUUGAAAAGUGGUUUUUUUUUUCCUCCUGGUCAUUAAUAUGUUUCAAUUACAAAUUACCUCAGCAAGCCAGUAAAGGUGGGGGCAUUUUGUUGGCUUUCCCUAGCUAUAUGUAUAGUGGAGCUUCUUAUCUGCAUUAAGUUCGGACAUGGUGAGCUCUAUCUCUCAAUCAUGUUUCAAUUUGUGUAUCUUAUUGAUAUCUUUCCUUUAAUGUCGAUUAUAUAUACUUUUUAAAACAAUGACUUAACAAACAGUGUACUGACUAGGUCUGUAUCCGAAUCCAAUGCCAACAUGGUUGAUAUGUUUCUGGGGAUCUGUUGGAGUAACCCUUGUUCUCUUCCUGCUAGUUUGGUGUUGGAGAAAUCAUCGACAAAUGGCAAGAAAGAGGCUAUGAAUUCAUAACAUAACAUGUUUCUUUAUAAUUUCUUCACUUUGUUCCAUGAUAUGUUUAUUGUACAUAUGCAUUGUAAACUAUUUUGGUUAGUUCUGAAAAUUUUGCUGGAGACUUGAUUCAAGCUAAAGUUUAAAGAUCCCUUUGCAUGUUCACAAGAAGUCUGAUUUAAGCAUUAUGUUUUGUUUUCCUCUUUUUUUUUUUAUAAACACUCACUAACCAUUUUAAUUAAAAUAUCUAGUGUGUGUCGAGAGAUAUUGAAGCCUUAAUGUAGUGAGAUACUUCAAAUAUAAGUUCAUGUACAAUUAUAAACACUUUGAGAAUCUUCCUUGUCAAAUGAAAUGAGAGAUUUUGUAAGGAAACUUUUAAAAUAAUAAAUUUUGUUUAUUAAUUUUCAGUGAAUGGAUGUGAUCCAUAGUAAAUGGAUGCAACCCUUAGUGAGUGGAUGCAACUCUAAUCAAAGGGUGUUAGUGAGUGGAUGCAACUCUAAUCAAAGGGUGUGACUCUUAGAGUGAAAGGAUAUAACUUUUAGUAAAAGGAUAUGACAUGAAAAGACACAUCUUUAUAAUGUGUCUCUUCGAGUACAUAUCUGUUGGAAUUAAUUCUUACAUUCAUUGAACUUGACUCAUAAAACUAAUUGGUAGUUAUGAUCAAAUGAAAAGUCACAAUUGAAGGGCCACUUCAUGAAACACCCAUUCAUGAAUAGUCACUUUAUGAAGCACCCGUUAUGAAGCACCCGUUCAUGGUCUAUAUAAGUCCACAGCGUUAGUUGUAGAAAUAUAAGACGAAACAGUUGAAGAGUUUAAGUCUCCAUUCACAAUAAUUCCAUUCUUGUUUUCUUAUUCUAUUUCUUUUGACAACUUAAUCGAGUGAGUGUUCAAAGGCUCGACUUCGUGUGUGCAAACGCAGUUGAGGUUUGUGCUUCAUUGUAUCCUAGGAGGCUGUUCGUUGACCCGGUGCACACCAAUUUGAUUGAACGGUGGGGACGGAUUAAGCCUUAAGGAAAGUGGCAUUGCUACACGCCUUGAAGCCUUUUUAAUCUUUCUAUUUCAUACCUUUAUCACAAUCUGUUCAAACAAUCUUAAGGCUUAAAUCCGAAAAUGUCGACUGCUACUCUACGAGAGAUGGCAACAAACUUUAUGAGACUAAAAAGAUUUGAUGGCAUGGACUUCAGGCGUUGGCAGAAGAAAUUAUUUUUCCUUCUAUCGACUCUCAAAGUUGCUUAUGUCCUUACUACUCUAAGACCAGAAGAAAAUGAUGAUGAACCUAUUGCACAAACUCGUACAAGACAAAAAUGGGAUGAAGAUGACAAUAUAUGCCGAGGCAACAUUCUAAAUCUUAUGUCGGAUACACUUUUCGACGUCUAUCAAAAUGUGAAAACGGCUAAAGAACGGUGGGAAGGUCUUGAAGAAAAAUAGAAAUCCGAGGAUGCCACAAGUAAGAAGUUUCUUGUUAGCAAAUUUAAUAACUAUAAAAUGGUUGAUAGUAGAUCUCUUCUUGAUCAGUUACAUGAAAUUCAAUAUAUUCUCAAUCAAUUUACUCAACAUAAUAUGAAUAUGGAUGAAUCUAUAAUUGUGGCCUCUAUUAUCGAUAAACUUCCUCCAUCAUGGAAAGACUUUAAGAAAAGUCUUAAGCAUAAAAAUGAAGAUAUUACUUUUAAAGAUUUGGCUAAUCAUCUUCGCAUAGAAGAAGAAUAUCGUUUGCAAGAUGGCAAAAAGGAGCAAGAUGCUCAGAGUGCCAAACUGUACGCGACGGAAGAUGAGUAUAAUAAAAUCCGGCAACCCACAAAAGAAAAUCGAAAGAGAGCCGAGCAUCCGAUCAACCACAACAUAACAAAUAAGAAAAAGAAAUGUGCAUGCUUUCAUUGUAGUAAACCGGGUCACUACAAGAAAGAAUGUCGGUUCCUCAAAAGGAAAAGUGCACCGGAUUCCAAAAAGAAUUUUGUGACUAUAAUAUCCGAGGUUAACACACUCGAAGAUGACGGAGCUUGGUGGAUUGAUUCGGGUUCCACAAGGCAUGUGUGCAAGGAUAGAAGUUUAUUUAGAACUUAUGAUGCAUUGGAGGAUAGAAACGUUCUCUAUAUGGGCAAUUCUUCAACAGCACAAAUCAAAGGAAAGGGUAACAUGGAACUUGAGUUCACAUCAGGGAAAACUCUCACUCUCACCGAUGUGUAUCAUGUACCCGAAGUUAGGAAGAAUCUUGUUUCAGGAAGUCUUCUUAACAAAUUUGGGUUCAAACUUGUAUUUGAGGCCGAUAAAUUUAUUUUGUCGAAGGCUAGAAUCUUUGUAGGAAAAGGAUAUUUGUAUGAAGGCAUGUUCAAACUCAAUCUUAUUAAUAAAAUGAAUAUUUCAGCCUAUAUUAUUGACUGUUCUUCUUUAUGGCAUAAUCGUUUAGGACAUGUUAAUUAUAGAAGAUUACAUGAUAUGUCUAAGUUAGAGUUAAUUACUAAUUUUGAUAACAAAUUAGAAAAAUGUAAUACUUGCAUGCUCACUAAAAUUACUAGAUAAGUCUUUUCCUAAAUUGAUAGAUGUUCUAGUCUACUUGAAUUGGUACAUAGUGAUGUUUGUGACUUGCAUGCUUCUCCUACUAUUGGUGGAAAGAAAUAUUUUGUUACAUUUAUUGAUGAUUUUUCUAGAUAUAGUUAUGUUUAUCUUUUGCAUUCUAAAAAUGAAGCGCUAGAUAAAUUUAGAAUUUAUAAAUCUGAAGUUGAGGUGAAAUGUGAGAAAAUGGUCAAAUGCCUAAGAACAGACAGAGGAGGAGAAUAUUAUGAUCCUUCAUUUUUUGAGUCCAUUGGUAUUAUACAUGAAACCUCUGCACCUUAUACUCCACAACAAAACGGAGUUGCAGAAAGAAAAAAUAGAACAUUA